rnacentral:lncRNA from 1 species
CCGCCGCCGCCUCCGCGCCUGCCUGCUCCCUCCCCCAUUUCAUUUCAAUUGAGAGCUGGGAGCAACCAACCAACCCUAGAUCCACCACGUCCCCCACACGACAGGAGAGGAGAGGAGAGGAGAGGAGAGGAGAUCUCCCCGUCCCCGAUCCAAUUCCGCAGAGAUGGACUCCUCCUCCCCCUUCUCCCCUGACGACCAGACCGACGCCGACUUCUUCGACAAGCUCGUCGACGACGACGACGACCCCGCCCCGCCGCCCGCCACCGACUUGCCUCGGCCCGUCUCCGCCACCAGCCUCAACGCUGCAGACGACCCACCCGCCCCGGAGCCGCAGCCUCCGGUGCCGGCGCCUCCCGAGGGGUCAGGCAAGGGCGGAGCCGGCGUCCACACCGCGGUCAAGCAGGUGCAGUGGGCCUCCUUCGGAGGUGGCGCGGACGACGGUCCUGAUCCGUUCGCUGAUCUCUCGGGAGGCGCCGGCGACGACGACGGCUUCCUCGGGAGCACGGCCGGGACCCAGACGGCCUCGGGUCAGGACUUCUUCGCUGGGACCAACUCCUCCUCCGAUCAGCAGAAUGUCAAUGGUCAGCACGAUCAGGGAGGUGGCACCAGCACUGCAGUGGACCCAGCAGAUCCCAAGUCUUGGGAGGCCAUGUACCCUGGGUGGAAGUACGACGAGGCAUCGCAGCAGUGGUACCAGCUUGAUGGCAGUGUAAAUUCAACCGGGAAUGCAGCUCAGGUGCUGGAGAAUAGCAAUCAGAAUGCGCAGCAGCAGCUCAACACGUCUUACCUGCACAAUUCGUCGCAUGCGGGGCUCGAGACAAUUGCUGAGGAGGGCACUGCCGCAGCCGGUGCUGUCUCAAGUUGGGGCCAAGGGGCCGCCUCAGAGUACCCACCCAACAUGCUCUUCUACGCAGAAUACCCUGGUUGGUACUUUGACACCAACACUCAGCAGUGGCACUCGCUUGAGUCGUACCAGCAGGCUGCUAUGCAGGCUGGAACAGCUAGCACGGGUCAGACUGUUGUUGCAAACGAUGUUGUUGCUGCGAAUUCCUCCUCGCUGACAGGCUAUAAUGCUGCACAAACUGAGGAUGUUGCUGCCCACAAUCAGGUGACCCAUCACAAUUCAUUCUCAAAUAGUUUCACUCUGCAGAACCAAUGGCAGACUACGGAUGCAUUUGGUAACAAUGUACGAUCUGAAAGUGCUACAGAUAACAGCCUGGCUAGUAGUUUCUAUGGUUUUGAACAAAACAGGAAUGCUGAGACUACCACUUCCUCUACGAGCCAACAGGCUGGUUUUAACACAGUUGAAACUGUUACAGAUCACUAUGGUGCACGCAAGGGCUUUGAAUCAUCAAGUCUUCAGAGUGGUUAUAGCUCAUCUGACAGUCAACAAUCCAGUUACAAGGCAUUCGAACCUUCCACGCGUUAUAAGGCUGGUUACAAAGCGUUUGAACCUGCCAUGGAUAACCAGAGUGGCUACAAGGCAUUCAAACCUUCUACGGGUCACCAUAGUGCUUCCCAGGGAUUCAUGCCCUCCACGGGUCACCGGACUGAUUUCAAGGGUUCCAGAGCUUCCACAGUUCACCAGGCUGGUUACAAAGAGUUUGAAACUUCUACAGGUUACAGUACAAGUUUCAAGGCAUUUGAACCCUCUUCAUCUCAACAUGCUGGUUACAAGGGUUCCCAACCUAACUACACGGGAUUUGACAGUUCUGCAAACCACCAUGGUUAUGGUGAUGCCAAUGGUGUUGUGAGUACUCAAGGCUUUGUCCCAAUGCAAACCACGUACCAAGGCCAGAAACAAGUAAAUGCAACCUCGCAAGGGCACCUGUCAAAUAGUUAUUUUGGUACUGAAAACUCCAUGAACUUUAAUCAGCAACAAUUUCUGGGUGCAAAUGCGUCAAACUUGCAAUUCGAUCACUCCCCACAUGAAGGCAGGUCAUCGGCUGGUCGACCACCGCAUGCCCUUGUUACUUUUGGGUUUGGAGGGAAGCUCAUAGUUUUGAAAGAAACUAGCUCCAUGCCCGCAAGCUUUAACACUGGAAAUCAGGUAUCACAAUAGUUUCCUUUUGUAACGUAUUUUGUAAUGAAGGAACAUAUUUGAGUUGACUAAAUUACUAAAAUAUUUUUUUUCUUUUUCUUCUUGCAGUUCAAGGGUAACUCUAGUAGCACAGUUUCAGUUCUUAAUCUGUCGGAGGUGGUCAUUGAUAGAGUUGAUCCUUCAAGCAUCACUAAUGGUAGUGCACUUAGUUAUUUCCAUGCUCUGUGCCAUCAACCUGUUCCUGGCCCUCUGGUUGGUGGAAGUGCUGCAUCAAAGGAUGUAAAUAAGUGGCUUGAUGAAAUGAUUGCAUGGUACGAGUCUUCCUCUAGUGAAUUCCAGAAAGGUGAUACUCGCAAGUUGCUUAUUUCAUUGUUGAAGAUACUAUCUCAGCACUAUGGAAAACUCCGUUCACCUUUUGCGUCUGACCCAUUGCAAGAGGUACUUCCUCUCAUACUCUAUUCUGUAAUUGAAUGUUCAUUUAUAUAUCUCCUCUGUUUUCUCUGGUCUGCUUUCCUUUUCUAUCCUUAUUUAUUUUUACGACUUGCAUUAGAAAACAUUGUGCCAUGGUGAUUUGUUUCGAGUUGGAUGGUGUAAACCAAAACAUAAGUUGGAUAAGCUACUAAACUUCAGAUUUAUAUAUACUCAUACAACCUAGAAUUUUUUUACGAACAGUGUUUCAACCAUGUAAAGUUAUAAAUACCUGUGAUCAGCAUUGUCACAUGGGAACUUUGCUCGAUUUCAUAUUUUCAUGUUUGAUUAUGAUGGGGGAUUCAACUACUUUCUUAACUCGUAGUUUGUAAACAAUGUCUAAUUUUAUAUUUGUGCAUAAUUGUUACAUGAAUUCUUUAUAAUAGGAGACAAAUGGUCCAGAAAUGGCAGUAACUAAGCUAUUUUCAUCGUGUAAGAGAAGCACUGCUCAUAUGGGAGAUUAUGGAUCCAUUGUUCCGUGCAUGAAAAAUAUUGCUUCAGAAAGUCAGAUGCAGGUAAUUUUUAUUUAUAAUAUUCUGCCCUUUAUUUUUAGCAAAUGUCCCUUAUUGAAACAACUACUAUUCUUUUAGGCUGUUGCACAAGAGGUGCAAAGUCUUCUAGUUUCUGGGAGAAGAAAAGAGGCCCUUCAGUGUGCCCAGAGAGGUCAACUUUGGGGACCUGCAAUCAUACUGGCAUUGCAGCUUGGUGAUCAGGUCUGUUUGACUUUAAACAACCCCCCUUUCGUAACGUAGCAUGUUGCUCGACUUCCUGUAAUCCUGCCUGGUUUUCAUUUCCAUGUUAGAUUCAUUGUUUUUUUCCUGGACUGUUGGUACAGUUUUAUGUGGAUACAGUGAAGAAAAUGGCUCACUUCCAUUUUGUAUCUGGGUCCCCUCUGCGAACGCUAUGCCUUCUCAUUGCUGGACAACCUGCAGAUGUUUUUAAUGUAGAGAACAAUGUCAACAGUGACUAUGGUACAUCCCGUCAACCUAUGGAGGUACUUGCAAAGUUAAUUGGUCUUUUAGUUGUUAAAUGUAUUACUGUUAUGACCGUCAAGUACUGAUUAUAUAAUUCAAAUUCAAAAUUAUAAAAAAAAAAUCUUUACCUUGUUGUCAUUGCUGAUCACCUGUGUGAUUAAUGAUUUCAUAAUGUCUUGUUUACUGCAAUGUCAUGACUUUUGGGUAUCGUUUAUCAAUAUUUUUUCUGGGUUUCUGUUGUACUAUCUAACUUCUUUCACAAUUUGUUCUUUUUCUUUCCUGAGUCAGCCUGGUCCUAAUGGUAUGUUGGAUGAUUGGGAGGAGAAUUUGGCUAUAAUUACUGCAAACAGAACGAAAGGUGACGAUCUAGUAAUCACCCAUCUUGGUGAUUGCCUCUGGAAAGAAAAAUAUGAGGUUUGUAUCAUUAUAUCAUAUUUGUUUUUAGAUUCAGUUUUCCUACUCUUUUGUGUAUAUGCGGUCAAGUACCUUAUGCACAAUGUAUACAGGUUGCAGCUGCCCAUUCAUGCUAUUUAGUUGCUGAACUAAAUAUUGAUUCAUACUCGGAAAGUGCAAGGUUAUGCCUCAUUGGUGCAGACCACUUGAAGUGUCCUCGAACAUUUGCCAGCCCUGAAGCCAUUCAGGUUUGGCACUAUAUGUUUUACCUGCAAAAAAGUUGUGUAUGCUGUAUGGAGUAGACAUUUACUUAAAACAUCUUUUUCGCUCAGUUGCCUAGUUAGACAUUGCCUAGAUGUGGCUAGCUUUAAAAAAUAUAUUAUACGGAUCCAUUGGCAAGAUUAUGCUUAGUUAUUUAUUGGUUUAUUUUUUUUGCUAUUCACUGUCUGGACUAAUAUCUUCAAAAUGCAAACAGAGGACAGAGGUUUAUGAAUACGCGAAGGUGCUUGGUAAUUCUCAGUAUAUUCUACUACCCUUUCAGCCAUAUAAGCUGAUAUAUGCAUACAUGCUUGUGGAUGUGGGGAAGGUUUCUGAUUCUUUGAGGUAUGUUGUUGGCUUGUUCAUAACAAUCAAAUGACACAAUCCUUUCCCUAGCUUGUACUUGUACAUUAUCACGCAGUUGAAUAUUAACUUCUCUAGGUAUUGCCAAGCAUCUAUGAAGGUGCUGAAAGCCUCUGGUGGUGCCCCUGAAUUGGAGGUGUGGAAACAAUUAUUUUCUUCACUGGAGGAGAGGAUACGCACUCACCAGCAGGUAUGACCAUACCAUUUGGUAUAUUGCUUAUUGCAAAUCUUUGCUUGCUUUAUAUCUGGUGUUCUCUUGCUCUUUUCCUUGUUCAUUUACAGAUUGACCAACUCUCUUUGCUUGUUUUUUUUUUCUGUAGGGUGGAUAUGGAACAAAUCUUGCCCCAGCAAAACUAGUUGGGAAGAUUUUUACCUCGCUUGAUAAAUCUAUAUCCCACAUGAUGGGUACACCAUCUGCACCACUUCCACCAUUACCACAUGGAUCUGUUAGUGAUAGAGAGAGCCACUCUAUGCCUGCAGCAGCAAAAUUUGGAAAUAGCCAAUCGGCAAUGGCCAUGUCAUCGUUAAUGGCAUCUGCUUCAAUGCAGUCAAUGACUGAGAUAGCAGAGAAUAGUGGUGGCACUGGCAGGACAAUUGCACAGAACAGAAGUGUUUCUGAGCCGGAGUUCGGUAGAACAUCAAAACAGGUACUUGCAAAGAGAAAUUUUAAGACAUUAAUUUCUGGUUAUGUUGAAUUUGAAAGAUCAUAUGGUAUUUCUCCCCUUGUCUCAUUUGAAAAACCUAACAGGGUGCUGGAUCAGAUGGCACACAGAGUAGUGCAUCAGGAUCUGGUAGUUCUCGAUUUGGUUGGCUAGUGCAGAAGACUAUGGAUUUAGUGUCGAAAUCCCACCGCCAGGUAUUUUUUACUAAGUUAUGAAAUGACUAUUUCCAGUUUUUGCCUCCAUCUUGUCUCUUCUAUAUGCAACACCAACCUUAAGAUCCUAUUUCUGUUAUGAAGGCAAAAUUAGGGGAUCAGAACAAAUUUUACUAUGAUGAAAAGUUGAAGCGGUGGGUGGAAGAAGGUGCUGCUGUUCCUGCCGAGGAGCCUCCUCUUCCUCCACCUCCAACAAAACCAUCUUUCCAGAAUGGUAUGCCAGACCAUAAGUUGAAUGGCCCCGUGAGUGUAAACCAUGCUCCCAAUGGAGUCACAGAAUGGAAAUCCUCAAAUUCUUCGGAUCAAGGAGGUCUGGGUAUGCCUCCAAUUCCACCUAGCCAAAACCAGUUUUCUGCUCGUGGACGGAUGGGUGUCCGGUCCAGGUAAUUCGACAGUGGCAUUGUCAUUUAGUACUCUGAAUUAUUAUUUCUAUAUUGCUAUCUAAGGUAUUAUACAGAAAACUGAUGGCUUUUCUGUUUUCAUUUUAGAUAUGUUGACACAUUCAAUAAAUCGGGUGCGUCUGGAGCAGUGCCAUCAUAUAACAAACCAGCUGCUCCAUCUGUGACACCACCAGCUGGUGCCAAGUUCUUCAUGCCGACUGCAGCACCUGCUGCUGCAGAUCAGAUGGUGCCACACCAAGCGGCAGAGAUACACAGUGAAACCAUCCAUCAGGAUGAGCGGUCAGCCUCACCACCAGCAGAAACAUCAAUUUCUUCAACCCCACCACCCACACAAUUUUCAUCACCCCCACCGCACUUGCAAUUUUCAUCACCAAUGCAAUCAACAAUUCAUCGGCAAUCUAGUAUGGAGAAUAUCUCCACCCCUUACCUGGGUUCUGGGGUAUCAUCAUUAAGCAGCAGCAGCUCAUUCUCAAAAUCACGAGCCGCAUCCUGGAGUGGGACAUACUCUGAGCAGUAUAGUGCUUUUGCGGGCACUCAAUCACCUGACAGACAGACGAUGCCUUCACCACUCAUGCCUGGCAAACCAUCACACAGUCGUUCCAACAGCAACUCAUCACUGCAGCUCAAUGGAUUGGCAGAGGAUCUUCAUGAGGUUGAGCUCUAACUGAUCACUGCUCAGCAUGACCUCAUGUCUUGUAUCCACAAAGACAGCCAUGGCAACCGCUGACGGUUCCAGAAACCCCAAAGCGGGUGUCAGAAAAGAAGCUGCCCUCACAAUGCUGAUCACAGGGAUGACACAGUUGGAAUGGGUUGGUGCCACUUUGCACGGGAUUCUGGGGGCGCGCUCUAAACCACCGAGGUGCGUCAGACCUGUACUAACAGAAAUGCAGGGUUUUUGAACAUUUUGUAGUUAUAUCUCCUAUACAACUAAAAAGAAGAAAAGUAAGAUCACCAAAUGGUGCGAUAAUUUUUUGGGUUGCCCCCACCUCUCCUUGCGAUUCUAAGGUGGAAGGGUGCAAAAACAAAUAAAGAAUAAGAAUGGAUUCCUGAUGUAAAUAUACAAUAGAGAAACAAUAUAUAAAUGUGGAGGUGGAAGGGAAAGGAUUCCUGAUGUAAAAUGGUCUUUUGUGGCCGUGCGAUGUUUGCCAUAGAUGCGAUACAGUCGGUGGUGCGACAAUUUCGGCAACAAAAAUCAACCGCCCAUAAAAUACAAUUUUGGCAACCUGCGAUUACGGCAACAAAAAUCAACCGUGAUUUUUGGCUACGGAAGUUGGAGUGCUUUCUAUAAUUCCAUCCUCGCGAAAUCAAUCAGGGCACGCGCAGGACCUUUUCCAUCGCCGUCCUAUUUAUUCGGUCGAGGAGGAUGCGAGGUGCUGGCGGGUCUCCUCGGUCCCGCGGGCACCAACCAACUGUGAACAAGCUCCGUGGCAAUGCGCCGGCCACGCGGCCGAUAAUAAAGCCAAAUAUUUUACUAUAAACUAAACAAAGUCAUUAGAGAAUCUUCAAGAGCCUUUCUAUAUCUUAUUCUCUAAAUCAUUACUUGGAGAGCCAUUUAUAUAAAAAUCGUUUUCUAUAUUUUUUUUACUUUCGAACAGUUUUGCUAAAUCUCAUACGCAUUCUAUAGAGUCAUUCUCGUCUUCUAUAUUUGGCUAGCGAAAAAUCUGAAAUAGACAUGCGAUGAGUCUGGUCGGAAGAAACCUAUGUGUAGGAGACAUUUUGGACCUUUUUGAGCAAGGUGGCUGUCUGUCCCAUCGCGGCGAUCAGAUGUGCUCGUAUACUGGAUCGGACGCCCUGGCACUCCGGGGUAUCAGAGAGUCGGUCCAGAUUCGCCAUGGCGACAGCCACGUUGGCGCUUGGCGUCUUGUAGACUGGCUGAUCUCCGACCAUGUCAAAAGCAUCACUAAGGUUGUGCGGCGCAAGUUGCCGUUCUUCAUCUGCGCGCCGCCGAGCACGAUCAGCAUUGCGCUGUUCGCGGAGUUGUUUCUGCUCGUCUGUUUCGCCGUCGACAACGGGUUCGUCAUUGCUGACGUUAAAAAUAAGGUCUCCUCGCCGAGGUGGAAAGACCGGGAAACGAGAAAAACCCGGAGGAUAAUGGUGGUAGAUCCAGGUCGUAAUCUUCGUCCUCGGAGUGUAAAACUUUGGUGGGGACGGACCCUGUGCUGGAGUUUGUACUGGUGGCCUUGUCGUCUGGCAGGACUCGGAUGGAUACCAUGUUGACGUAAUGGCGAGCUGUUUGGCUGCUCUGUCCCGGCGAUAAGCCCGCCCUGCUGAAAAGAGAUUGGGUGUGCCGUGAAUAGUGGUCGGCCGAGUUGCUUAGACCGUAAGGGUGGUUCUGGUCUUGAGCUGUCUUGAGCUUGAUGGGCCGUCCCGCGGGGGUCGAUGUUAUUGUUAGGGACGUCUCCAGCUGUUCGUGUGUGAUGACACGAGUUGGCCGGCAGGAGUCGAAAAAGUUUGUUGACGUCGCCUGGUCGGGUUUUCGCGAGAUCGAAUCCAUGAGAUCCGAGGCUUCGAGGAGCCUGAGAUCGGCGCAAUCAAGAGCUCGGAAAAGAUCCGAGUCGUCGACCUUUUUUCCCCUAUAACGAGGGAGCGGAGGUCGGGUGCUCGGAGCCGGCGUGAUCGGAAUCGACGCCCUUGCUGUCUCAGAUCGGAUCUGGGCUCCUUCCGAGGUCGUGGUCGUGAAGCCGCCACCAUGAGUCGUCCACGUGAUCUGGCCGACGGUGAACGUGAGGCCUUCCGCCACGGCCGCGGAAGCUGGAACGAUGACCAUCUUGUUCGUCGAGAGAGCUGUACGCACACCCCCUACCUGGCGCGCCACUGUCGACGAAAGCUAGUCGGCAGUCUACCUUGGGGUAUACCCACGGUAGUAGUUUAUUGGUAGACGGUGCGCAAGCUACGAACUCGAUGGUGACGCAAGACACAGACAAAAUUUUUAUCCAGGUUCGGCCGCCGUGUGGGCGUAACACCUACGUCCUGCGUCGUCUGAUUGUAUUGGAUUGUGUUGAGAUAAUCUGUCCUAAGGGGGGUCCCUUGCCUCUCCUUAUAUAGUCCAGAGGGCAGGGCUACAGAUCUGGAAACUAAUCCUAGUCGGCUACAAUUGCCAUAGAUAGUACGAUAUCUAUUCCUAUUCUAACCGACUAGAUUCCUGCUUGAUCCCCACGUCUUGUUUUCUCGCUUGAAACUCCGAACAGUCGAAUCAAGCCUCGAACUCGUCUCGUAAUGGGCCGAGCCUCCUGGCCCAAGUCUAUCCGUAAGGGUAUAGGGGUUUAUACCCCCACAGCUGGUACAUGCCAAGUGAUGGAGCAAGUGAUGAUCAUGGUGAUGAUGGCGAUGAAAAUGAUCAAGUGUUCAACUUAGAAAAGAAGAAAGAGAAAAACAAAACCCUAUGAAGAUCAAGGCAAAGGUAUUGCUUAGGGUUUUGGUUUUGGUGAUCAAGACACCAUAGAGGGUGUGAUCACAUUUAGGAUAGAUAGCCGUACUAUAAAGAGGGGAAUUCUUUGGCUAAGCGGUUAUCAAGUGCCACUAGGUGUCUUUGUUCAUGUGCAUGCAUUUAGAACCUAGUGAGCUAACUUAACUCAUUCGAAGAAAAUGAUUGUGAAAAUGCUAACACACGUGCACAUGUUGGUUUACACAUUGUGGUGUUGGCACACUUUGAGAAGGAGGUGGAGUUUGAAGGGUAGAGAGAGGAUGGGUUCCUCUCUCCCUCCCGCCGAGCUUGCGAGACGGGAUUCGGCGCUUUUCGAGAAAAUGAAGUGCAUAUCUUCUAUUGCGCCGGUGGGAAAGUUGGACAAGUCGCGGGAGUGUUUCUCGCUGAGGAACACUCACCGGACGCUGGCUUCUGGAGCACCUGACGCUGAGUCUGAGCGUCCGGUGCAGUCAGUGCCUGACUCAGUUAGGGUAAGGCACCGGACGCCAGGCACCGGACGUAGGCUGGAGCGUCCGGUGUUCUGAGUCCGGUGUCUGCGCGUUUUGCAGUGCUCCCUAGGUUUAAGUCCGGUGAGCACCGGACGUAGGCUGGAGCGUCCGGUGACCUUGCGCGUUUGCAGACCUUCCUGAGUUUAGGACCGGUGUGCACGGGACGCGUCCGGCGGCAACUUGCUCAGCGUCCGGUGCUCUGCAGGUUACCGUUAGACUCUGACACGUGGGUGACUUUGGAGCACCGGACGCAGGUGUUGAGCGUCUGAUGCCCCUUUAAGAGCGUCCGGCGACCCCGUGUUUUGUCCAGUGAAAGAGCCAACGGCUCUAUUUGUUUGAGGGGUCUAUAAAUAGUUGUUGGCCGGCUUGGGGCUCACUCUCUUGGCAUUCUAGCAUACUUGACAUCCUUGUGAGCCUAAGCAAACACCUCCCACUCAUCUCCUUCAUAGAUUAAACAUCUUUGUGAGAUUGGGAGUGAUUCCAAGUGCAUUUGCUUGAGUGAUUGCAUCUAGUGGCACUUGUGGAUCGUUCUACCUGCGAUUUUCUUGUUACUCUUGGUGGUUGCCGCCACCUAGACGGCUUGGAGCAGCGGAGGAGGAUUGACACGAGUUGGUGAUUGUUCGUAGCCAUCUUCCGGUGAUUGUGAGGGGUCUUGUACCUUCACCGGUGGAGAGCCGAAAGGUAACUCUAGUGGAUUGCUCGUGUCAUUGAGCUACCUCACUUGUGGGUAGGUUCUUGUGGUGUCCUAGUGAGGACGAGGUUCGUGCUACACCUCUUAGCCACCGAACCACCAAGUGUUGGUCGACACAAUAGGGACGUAGCGUGCCGGCAAGCACGUGAACCUCGGGAGAAAAUCGUGUGUCUCCAUUGUGAUUGUACUUUGGAUUUCUCCCGGUAAUUGGACGUCAUAUUAUUGAUUGGUUCAUCCCCUCUACGCGGCGGUAUAAAGAUCAAACCAUCUCUCUUACUUUCCCGCAAACUAGAGUAGCUUACUUCUUGUAUAGAAACUUUAGAUAGCUCUCUAGUGUAAGUAGUGACGUAGCUCUUGUGUGCCUAGUGAUCAUUUCAACUAGAAUUGUUGGAUAGGUGGCUUGCAAACACCCCAUUAGAGCUAGAGCAAAAAGCUACGCUUUGUUAUUUACUAACCACUUGCUCUAGUGAGUUUUGUAGAUUUUUUAAAUAGGCUAUUCACCUCCCUCUAGCCAUAUUAGGAUCUUUCAAUGGGUCAGCAGGUGUCCCCGAGUUUCUACGAGCACACGAUGAUAUAUGAGCAAGGUGAACCUGUCCUCGCCACGACGGUGGCAAUCGUGGCCAAGUGAAAGGAGAUGUGUACCACUGCCUGCAUCGCCUCGUGGUACAACCAAUAAUCCCAUUUGUAUCUACGCCACAAGCAAGAACUGACCAUAUCGUCGCUCUUGCAUGUGCCACCUCACUACAUUCACGGUGCCCGCUGAAGUAUUGACUAUUGCUAUUUACUAAAAAAUUGGUUCAAUUAGUAUUGGCACUGAAUGUGAACAAUGUCUAGACAAAGCUCUUUGCCUUUUCUAGAAAAGCAAUGAAGAAAAACUGAAAAAUAAUAUCAAUAAGCUCUCUUAGGCAUAUAUAGACAAAUAGCCUUUCGUUUCUUACCUACGUAACCUGGUCCUAGAUAAUUGACAACCAAUGCUAGGGUGAACAAACAACUACCAAUUUGACCUCUGGAUGUGCUUUCUAAUUUGCAUGUUUAGACAAUUCUUACAUCAUUAGAAUCCAUCUAAAUUCACAUCCUAUAGUUAAUAGAGCUUGUUGCCGGGAAACAAUUCAUAGUUCUACACUAAAUCAAAAUUCCUCACUGUAAACUAUGAGAAUUGAGCAAGUAACAAGCACAUACACUACUAUUGUUACUGUGACCAAAUAAAAAAAAUGUAUGAACAGAUCCAUAGUGAUCCAUUCAACCAUCCUACUUUCCUAAAAUAAUAGACGUGUUCACUCAUAUUUAUUGGAACUCCUUACUUCUAGAUUCACACAUUGUAGGUGGGCAGCGAGGGACAUUACACAUUAGACAUGGUGUGGUGCAAACACGUACAUAUCGUUGAGGAGCGAGGUGCGUUCUUAUUUUAUUCCUUGAGCUUGGAGAAGACUGCUAUGUGUAACACGCGGAAAGGUUAUAAUAGAGUUGAUGAGUCUAUGACACCGAUCUCUAUGUGACCUAUUAAUUUUACAAAAUUUAAUUUUUAAAUUAAAUGUCACUUUAAAGGUGAAAUUUAAUUUUAUAGUAUUAUAUUAUCUUAUCAUGUGAUUCGUAUAUUUUUAAUAUAAAAGUUUAGUUAUCCCGUAGUAACACGAGCAUUCUAGAAGCGAUGCCUUUGGUUGGUGGUAGUUGCACAUGAGCAGGACAGCAAAGUGUGGUCGAACCAAACCAACUGAGGUGAGAUGAGAUCCCUGACACGUCACCAGAAAGAAAGAAAAAAACUCAUCAGAUCUUCAUCGGAUUUUGAAGGGGAAAAUGUGGAAAAUGGAAGGAUACAUACAGGAACAAGAGAGAGAGAGAGAGAGAGAGAGAGGCAAGAGCAAGAAGUGCCACGGCCACGGGUGGCGCGAUGCGACGUCGGCUGUCGUGCUCGUGACCGCCCUCCCGCCUCCUCCACCUCCUGCGAUUCCGAUCCGCUGCCCUGUCUGGCCGGCCGGCCGGCCGGCAAGCCCCGCCUCCGCCUCCGCGCCUGCCUCUCCCCUCUCCCAUUUCGUUUCAAUUUAGAGCUGGGAGCAACCAACCAACCAACCAACCCUAGAUCCACCACACGAGAGGAGAGGAGAUCUCCCCGUCCCCGAUCCAAUUCCGCAGAGAUGGACUCCUCCUCCCCCUUCUCCCCUGACGACCAGACCGACGCCGACUUCUUCGACAAGCUCGUCGACGACGACGACAACCCCAUCCCGCCUCCCGCCACCGACUUGCCUCGGUCCGUCUCCGCCACCAGCCUCGACGCCGCAGACGACCACGCCCCACCGCCAGCCACCGACUUGCCUCGGCCCGUCUCCGCCACCAGCCUCGACGCCACAGACGACCCACCCGCCCCGGAGCCGCAGCCUCCGGCUCCCGAGGGGUCAGGCAAGGACGGCGCCGGCGUCCACACCGCGGUCAAGCAGGUGCAGUGGGCCUCCUUCGGAGGUGGCGCGGACGACGGUCCUGAUCCGUUCGCUGAUCUCUCGGGAGGCGCCGGCGACGACGACGGCUUCCUCGGGAGCACGGCCGGGACCCAGACGGCCUCGGAUCAGGACUUCUUCGCUGGGACCAACUCCUCCUCCGAUCAGCAGAAUGUCAAUGGUCAGCACGACCAGGGAGGUGGCACCAGCACUGCAGUGGACUCAGCAGAUCCCAAAUCUUGGGAGGCCAUGUACCCUGGGUGGAAGUACGACGAGGCAUCGCAGCAGUGGUACCAGCUUGAUGGCAGUGUAAAUUCAACCGGGAAUGCAGCUCAGGUGCUGGAGAAUAGCACUCAGAAUGCGCAGCAGCAGCAGCUCGACACGUCUUACCUGCACAAUUCGUCCCAUGCGGGGCUCGAGACAAUUGCCGAGGAGGGCACUGCCGCAGCUGGUGCUGUCUCAAGUUGGGGCCAAGGGGCCGCCUCAGAGUACCCACCCAACAUGCUCUUCUACGCAGAAUACCCUGGUUGGUACUUUGACACCAACACUCAGCAGUGGCACUCGCUUGAGUCGUACCAGCAGGCCGCUAUGCAGGCUGGAACAGCUAGCACGGGUCAGACUGUUGUUGCAAACGAUGUUGUUGCUGCGAAUUCCUCCUCUCUGACAGGCUAUAAUGCUGCACAAACUGAGGACCUUGCUGCCCACAAUCAGGUGACCCAACACAACUCAUUCUCAAAUAGUUUCACUCUGCAGAACCAAUGGCAGACUACGGAUGCAUUUGGUAACAAUGUACGAUCUGAAAGUGCUACGGAUAACAGCCUGGCUAGUAGUUUCUAUGGUUUUGAACAAAACAGGAAUGCUGAGACUACCACUUCCUCUAUGAGCCAACAGGCUGGUUUUAACACAGCGGAAACUGUUACAGAUCACUAUGGUGCACGCAAGGGCUUUGAAUCAUCAAGUCUUCGGAGUGGUUAUAGCUCAUCUGACAGUCAGCAAUCCAGUUACAAGGCAUUCGAACCUUCCACGGGUUAUCAGACUGGUUACAAAGCGUUUGAACCUGCCAUGGAUAACCAGAGUGGCUACAAGGCAUUACCUUCUACGGGUCACCAUAACGCUUCCCAGGGAUUCAUGCCUUCCACGGGUCACCGGACUGAUUUCAAGGGUUCCGGAGCUUCCACAGUUCACCAGGCUGGUUACAAAGAGUUUGAAACUUCUACAGGUUACAGUACAAGUUUCAAGGCAUUUGAACCCUCUUCAUCUCAACAUGCUAGUUACAAGGGUUCCCAACCUAACUACACAGGAUUUGACACUUCUGCAAACCACCAUGGUUAUGGUGAUGCCAAUGGUGUUGCGAGUACUCAAGGCUUUGUCCCAAUGCAAACCACGUACCAGGGCCAGAAACAAGCAAAUGCAACCUCGCAAGGGCACCUGUCAAAUAGUUAUUUUGGUACUGAAAGCUCCAUGAACUUUAAUCAGCAACAAUUUCUGGGUGCAAAUGCAUCAAACUUGCAAUUCGGUCACUCCCCACAUGAAGGCAGGUCAUCGGCUGGUCGACCACCGCAUGCCCUUGUUGCUUUUGGGUUUGGAGGGAAGCUCAUAAUUUUGAAAGAAACUAGCUCCAUGCCCGCAAGCUUUAACACUGGAAAUCAGGUAUCACAAUAGUUUCCAUUUGUAACGCAUUUUGUAUUGAAGGAACAUAUUUGAGUUGACUAAAUUACUAAAAUAUUUUUUUUCUUUUUCUUCUUGCAGUUCAAGGGUAACUCUAGUAGCACAGUUUCAGUUCUUAAUCUGUCAGAGGUGGUCGUUGAUAAAGUUGAUCCUUCAAGCAUCACUAAUGGUAGUGCACUUAGUUAUUUCCAUGCUCUGUGCCGUCAACCUGUUCCUGGCCCUCUGGUUGGUGGAAGUGCUGCAUCAAAGGAUGUAAAUAAGUGGCUUGAUGAAAUGAUUGCAUUGUACGAGUCUUCCUCUAGUGAAUUCCAGAAAGGUGAUACUCGCAAGUUGCUUAUUUCAUUGCUGAAGAUACUAUCUCAGCACUAUGGAAAACUCCGUUCACCUUUUGCGUCUGACCCAUCGCAAGAGGUACUUCCUCUCAUACUCUAUUCUGAAUUUCUGAUUGAAUGUUCAUUUAUAUAUCUCCUCUGUUUUCUCUGGUCUGCUUUCCUUUUCUAUCCUUAUUUAUUUUUACAACUUGCAUUAGAAAACAUUGUGCCAUGGUGAUUUGUUUUGAGUUGGAUGGUGUAAACGAAAACAUAAGUUGGAUAAGCUACUAAACUUCAGAUUUAUAUAUACUCAUACAACCUAGAAUUUGUUUACGAACAGUGUUUCAACCAUGUAAAGUUAUAAAUACCUGUGAUCAGCAUUGUCACGUGGGAACUUUGCUCGAUUUCAUAUUUUCAUGUUUUAUUACGAUGGGGGAUUCAACUACUUUCUUAACUCGUAGUUUGUAAACCAUGUCUAAUUUUAUAUUUGUGCAUAAUUUUUACAUGAAUUCUUUAUAAUAGGAGACAGAUGGUCCAGAAAUGGCAGUAACUAAGCUAUUUUCAUCGUGUAAGAGAAGCACUGUUCAUAUGGGAGAUUAUGGAUCCAUUGUUCCCUGCAUGAAAAAUAUUGCUUCAGAAAGUCAGAUGCAGGUAAUUUUUAUUUAUAAUAUUCUGCCCUUUAUUUUUAGCAAAUGUCCCUUAUUGAAACAACUACUAUUCUUUUAGGCUGUUGCACAAGAGGUCCAAGGCCUUCUAGUUUCUGGGAGAAGAAAAGAGGCCCUUCAGUGUGCCCAGAGAGGUCAACUUUGGGGACCUGCAAUCAUACUGGCAUUGCAGCUUGGUGAUCAGGUCUGUUUGACUUUAAACAACCUCCCUUUUGUAACGUAGCAUGUUGCUCGACUUUCCUGUAAUCCUGCCUGGUUUUCAUUUCCAUGUUAGAUUCACUGUUUUUUUUCCUGGACUGUUGGUACAGUUUUAUGUGGAUACAGUGAAGAAAAUGGCUCACUUCCAUUUUGUAUCUGGGUCCCCUCUGCGAACGCUAUGCCUUCUCAUUGCUGGACAACCUGCAGAUGUUUUUAAUGUAGAGAACAAUGUCAACAGUGACUAUGGUACAUCCGGUCAACCUAUGGAGGUACUUGCAAAGUUAAUUGGUCUUUUAGUUGUUAAAUGCAUUACUAUUAUGACCGUCAAGUACUGAUUAUAUAAUUAAAAUUCAAAAUUAUAAAAAAUUCUUUACCUUGAUGUCAUUGGUGAUCUCCUGUGUGAUUAAUGAUUUCAUAGUGUCUUGUUUACUGCAAUGUCAUGACUUUUGAGUAUCGUUUAUCAAUAACUAGGUGAAUACCCCGCGCGUUGCUGCGGGAUUUUUUCUUAAAAAUAAAUCAUAUAUUAAUUUGACUUGCAUGUAUUUUAUUGUAUUAGAUCUAGUAAAAAAUUGCUAAGCUAAUAGAAGAAAAACUAAUAUUUGGUUACAUUAUAGAGGAAUUGGUGAUGAAACAAAUAGUGUAUGCACAUGACUUGUAUGUUAAUAGAUUAAAGAUUUAAAGUAUUUCACAUGAUAUAGAUGACAUUGUCAUUUUUUUGUAAUUAAUAGAUUAAAGAUUUAAAGUAUUUCACAUGAUAUAGAUGACAUGGUCAUUUUUUGUAAUUAAUAUGGGAUGACAUGAACUUAGUGGGGAAUGAUGUGGACACCUUGCAUGAAGAGAUAGAACAUUUAGUGGGUCACUUAGUGGGGAAUGAUGUGGACACCUUGCAUGGAGAGAGAAUUCAUCUAGUGGGGUUUAGCUUUAUAAGAGUAUAUGAUAUAUGAUAUGAUUUUUCUGGUUUUUCCUUUUACUAUCUAACUCUUUUCACAAUUUGUUCCUUUUCUUUCCAGAGUCAGCCUGGUCCUAAUGGUAUGUUGGAUGAUUGGGAGGAGAAUUUGGCUAUAAUUACUGCAAACAGAACGAAAGGUGACGAUCUAGUAAUCACCCAUCUUGGUGAUUGUCUCUGGAAAGAAAAAAAUGAGGUUUGUAUCAUUAUAUCAUAUUUAUUUUUAGAUUCAGUUUUCCUACUCUUUUCUGUAUAUGUGGUCAAGUACCUUUUGCACAAUGUAUACAGGUUGCAGCUGCCCAUUCAUGCUAUUUAGUUGCUGAACUAAAUAUUGAUUCAUACUCAGAAAGUGCAAGGUUAUGCCUCAUUGGUGCAGACCACUUGAAGUGUCCGCGAACAUUUGCCAGCCCUGAAGCCAUUCAGGUUUGGCACUAUAUGUUUUACCUGCAAAAAAGUUGUGUAUGCUGUAUGGAGUAGACAUUUACUUAAAACAUCUUUUUCGCUCAGUUGCUUAGUUAAAUAUGCCUUAGAUGUGACUAGCUUUAAACAAAUAUUAUACGGAUCCAUUGGCAAGAUUAUGCUUAGUUAUUUAUUGGUUUAUUUUCUGUUGCUAUUCACUGUCUGGACUAAUAUCUUCAAAAUGCAAACAGAGGACAGAGGUUUAUGAAUACGCGAAGGUGCUUGGUAAUUCUCAGUAUAUUCUACUACCCUUUCAGCCAUAUAAGCUGAUAUAUGCAUACAUGCUUGUGGAAGUGGGGAAGGUUUCGGAUUCUUUGAGGUAUGUUGUUGGCUUGUUCAUAACAAUCAAAUGACACAAUCCUUUUCCUAGCUUGUACUUGUACAUUAUGACGCAGUUGAAUAUUAACUUCUCUAGGUAUUGCCAAGCAUCUAUGAAGGUGCUGAAAGCCUCUGGCCGUGCCCCUGAAUUGGAGGUGUGGAAACAAUUAUUUUCUUCAUUGGAGGAGAGGAUACGCACUCACCAGCAGGUAUGACCAUACUGUCAUGUGGGGCCAAGCCUAUGCGCGCCGUAGGCGCAACCGUGACAUAAGGAGGGCCGAGGAGCGUGCAGAUCGCGCCCAGCUUGGCGCGCACGCGGGCCUGGCCGCGCCCAGUGGCUAGGAUAGGAAGGAAAGAUUUGUUUAGAUCCUAAAUUAUAGAAAGGAUUAGUUUGGUUUCCUUACGGCCUUCAGCCGAGGGACUAUAUGUACUAGCUUUGGACUUUGGAAUAAAGCAAGCAAUAUCAAUUAUCUAAACUCUCUUCUCCCUAAACCUCUCAAGCCCGAUCGUCCGAGAGGGGCAUAACCUCCGGAUCGGAAGAACGGCAGGAGACUACGAUCUUCGUAGUCGAGGGCCACCUACCCUAGAUUACCAGGCCCUUGACAACCUGGUAUCACGUGUCAGCCGAUCCUCUUCCACCCAAUCUGCUGCCGCCGCCGCCGCCGUUCCACGCCCAACACCGCCAGCAUCGCCAACAACCUCGAUCACCUCCACCCUGCGCCCGCGCCCAAUGGCCGAACCCACGCUCGCCGAUCUCCUCGCCGAGAUGAAGACCAUGGCUGCCGAGAUGAUGGUCCUCAAGGCCGACGUGGCUUCCGUCAAGGAGAAGACCGUCUCCUCUUCCAGUAGCGGCGACGGCCGCCCUGGGGGUCUUCACGAGCAGGAAUUCCACCCGAAACACAAGAAGUGGGACUUCCCGCGCUUCGACGGCACGACUGACCCGCUCCUCUUCAUCAACAAAUGCGACGCCUACUUCCGCCAACACCGCACACCAGUGGAAGACCGCGUGGCCAUGGUGUCCUACCACCUCGACGACGUCGCACAGCUCUGGUUCAUCCAGCUGCAGACGGACGACGGCACGCCGAACUGGACUCACUUCAAGGAUCUCCUGCACCUUCGGUUUGGCCCACCCCUCCGCUCCGCGCCGAUGUUCGAGCUCGCUGAGUGCCGGCGUACCGACACCGUCGACGACUAUUCCAACCGGUUUCAAGCCCUCUUGCCCCGAGCAGGCCGCCUCGAGGAGGAACAGCGUGUUCAGCUAUACACCGGCGGUCUUCUUCCGCCCCUGAGUCACGCCGUUCGCCUUCACAAUCCGGCUACCCUCGCCGAGGCCAUGAGCCUGGCCCGCCAGGUGGAGUUAAUGGAGUUGUCCAGGCCGGCUCCGCCACCGCCUGCUCGGGCACCCCCGCGCGGCUUGCUGCCCGCGCCUGCGCCGCGGCCGGCCCUGCCAGCUCCUCUAGCAGCUGCGCAGCAGGGCAAAGCGGAGGGCCCUCACCGUCGACUGUCCCCGGCCGAGAUGGCGGAACGGCGCCGCCAAGGUCUCUGCUUCAACUGCAACGAGCCCUACGCCAGGGGCCACAAUCGCUUCUGCAAGCGGCUGUUCUUUGUGGACGGGGUCGAGAUCGAUGCCACCGACGCUCCAGCAGCAGACACCGCAGAGGCGGACCCUGGAACCGAGGCGCCAUGUUACUCCCUGCACGCCGUCGCAGGAGUACCGGUCUCGGACACUAUUCAGAUCAAGGUGUCCGUAGGAUCGGCCUCCCUUCUCGCGCUGCUCGACAGUGGCUCCACGCACAGCUUCAUCAGCGAGGACGUGGCGCGCCUCACCGGCCUACCGAUCCAGGACCACCCGCGCCUGACAGCCACGGUUGCCAAUGGCGAACGCGUGGCCUGCCCGGGCGUUAUUCGGAACGCGCCUUUCUCCAUCAACGGCACCGCCUUCUCCACCGAUCUUUUUGUCAUGCCACUUGCAGGGUACGAGGUGGUGCUGGGGACGUGCUGGAUGCGCACGCUGGGCGACAUCGUGUGGAACUUCGCCGAGCGUGCGAUGUCCUUCCAAUUUGGCGGACGCAGCAUCACCUGGGCCGGCCUUCCGUCAUCAUCUGUCACCAGCCUGCGCACCAUCGCAGCGGCCAGUGGGACGCUGCUGGAUGAGCUCCUGGCCGCCUACGCCGACAUCUUCGCUGCGCCAUCAGGCCUUCCGCCACCGCGUACUCGGGACCAUGCCAUCGUCCUCAAGCCAGGUUCGGCCCCCGUCGCUGUACGGCCGUAUCGCUACCCGGCGGCCCACAAAGAUGAGCUGGAACGCCAGUGCGCCGUCAUGAUGGAGCAGGGCGUCGUCCGCCGCAGUGACUCGCCGUUUUCAUCCCCGGCGCUCCUUGUCCACAAAGCCGACGGGUCGUGGCGGUUCUGCGUCGACUACCGCGCUCUCAACGCGCUCACCGUCAAGGACGCUUUUCCCAUUCCAGUGGUGGACGAGCUACUCGACGAGCUCCACGGCGCGCGCUACUUCACCAAGCUCGAUCUGCGCUCCGGCUAUCAUCAAGUGCGGAUGCGGCCCGAGGACGUCCACAAAACGGCGUUCCGCACCCACGACGGCCUCUACGAGUUUUUGGUGAUGCCGUUCGGGCUGUGCAAUGCCCCGGCCACCUUUCAGGCACUGAUGAACGACGUCCUCCGGGCCUAUCUACGGCGGUUUGUUCUCGUCUUUUUCGAUGACAUUUUGAUUUAUAGCACCUCCUGGACUGAUCACCUCAGGCACCUACGCGUGGUCUUCGAGCUCUUGCGCCAGCACCAGUUGUUCGUCAAGCGCUCUAAGUGCUGUUUUGGGGUGCAAGCCGUCGCCUACCUGGGGCAUACCAUCUCAGCUGCCGGCGUCACCAUGGACCCCGCCAAGGUCCAGGCCAUCCACGAGUGGCCGCGUCCCCGUUCUGCUCGGGCAGUGCGCGGUUUCCUGGGCUUGGCGGGCUAUUAUCGGAAGUUUGUCCACCAGUACGGCUCCAUCGCUGCACCCCUCACGGCGCUAUUGAAGAAGGAUGGUUUCACUUGGAGCCCAGCGGCCGAGGAGGCGUUCAGCACCCUCAAGACCGCGAUCACCACGGCUCCUGUCUUGGCUCUUCCCGACCUCGCCAAGCCGUUCGUCGUAGAAUGCGACGCGUCGACAUAUGGCUUCGGCGCCGUACUCCUCCAGGAUGGCCAUCCGGUCGCUUUCUUCAGCAGGCCGGUGGCGCCCAGGCACCGCUCCCUCGCCGCGUACGAGCGAGAGCUCAUUGGCCUUGUGCUCGCAGUCCGCCACUGGCGGCCAUAUCUUUGGGGGCACCACUUCACCGUCAAGACUGAUCACCACAGUCUCAAGUUUCUUCUGGACCAGCGACUUGCCACCAUACCUCAGCAUCAUUGGGUUGGCAAGUUGCUCGGCUUUGACUUCGCGGUGGAGUACAAAUCCGGGGCCGCUAAUGUGGUUGCUGACGCCCUCUCGCGCCGGGAUGCUGAGGAGGACAGCAUGGGCGGGCUCCGCUCUAUCUCUGCUCCACGCUUCGACUUCAUCAACCGACUCCGUCAAGCUCAGGCUGUCGACCCCGCCUUGGUCGCCAUCCACGACGAGAUCCGCGCAGGUUCCAGGACAGCGCCCUGGACGGUCAAGGACGAUAUGGUGCUCUUCGACGGGCGUCUCUACAUACCGCUCGCCUCGCCCCUGCUCCAGGAAAUUGUGGCCGCCGUCCACGAUGAUGGCCACGAGGGCGUGCAGCGCACAUGGCACCGGCUGCAUCGUGACUUUCAUUUUCCCCACAUGCGCCGCAUCGUGCAAGACUUUGUGCGAGCUUGCGCCACGUGUCAACGCUUCAAGUCUGAACAUCUGCUACCGGCCGGACUGCUGCAGCCACUGCCGGUGCCGUCCGCUGUAUGGGCCGACAUCGGGAUGGACUUCAUCGAAGCACUACCACGGGUCGACGGCAAGUCCGUCAUCCUCUCCGUCGUCGACCGCUUCAGCAAGUACGGCCACUUCAUCGCUCUUGGCCACCCGAACACUGCUGAAUCAGUGGCCCAGGCGUUCUUCACCAACAUUGUCCGCCUCCACGUCGUACCGCAGUCCAUCGUCUCCGACAGGGAUCCGGUGUUCACGUCUGCCUUUUGGCGUGAACUCAUGCGGCUGAUGGGCUCCAAGCUGCAUAUGACCUCCGCAUUCCAUCCUCAGUUGGACGACCAGUCCGAAGCAGCAAACCGCGUCAUCGUCAUGUAUCUCCGCUGCUUUACUGGGGACCGACCGCGCCAAUGGCUCCGAUGGCUGCCAUGGGCGGAGUACGUCUACAACACGGCCUACCAAGCUUCGCUCCGGGAGACGCCGUUUCGCGUGGUCUACGGCCGCGAUCCUCCGACGAUACGCUCUUAUGAGCCCGGCGAAACCCGAGUUGCGGCCGUAGCCAGGGACAUGGAGGAACGCGAGGCAUUCCUUGCUGAGGUGCGCCACCGACUGGAGCAGGCCCAGGCAGUGCAGAAGCUGCACUAUGAUCGUCAUCAUCGGCAUGUCUCCUACGCAGAAGGUGAUUGGGUCCUGCUGCGUUUCCGCCAGCGUCCAGUGGCCUCUCUGCCCCACUCCACGGGCAAGCUAAAGGCUCGCUAUCUGGGGCCUUAUCGCAUAAUCCAGAAGAUCAAUGAGGUGGCCGUGCAGCUGGAGCUUCCCCCACAGGCGCGCAUCCACGACGUCUUCCACAUUGGGGUCCUCAAGAAGUUCCACGGACCUCCGCCGUCUACCCCGCCUCCCUUGCCGGACAUCAGACAUGGUACGGUCAGCCCGGUGCCAGACCGUGUCACUCAAGCUCGCAGGGUCCGUGGUGUCCUUCAAGUCCUUGUGUUUUGGCGAGGAGAACCAGCGUCUUCAGCUUCCUGGGAAGACCUCGACGAGUUCCGCGCCUCAUAUCCAGAUUUCCAGCUCGGGGACGAGCUGGCUCUCGAGGGGGCGAGAGAUGUCAUGUGGGGCCAAGCCUAUGCGCGCCGUAGGCGCAACCGUGACAUAAGGAGGGCCGAGGAGCGUGCAGAUCGCGCCCAGCUUGGCGCGCACGCGGGCCUGGCCGCGCCCAGUGGCUAGGAUAGGAAGGAAAGAUUUGUUUAGAUCCUAAAUUAUAGAAAGGAUUAGUUUGGUUUCCUUACGGCCUUCAGCCGAGGGACUAUAUGUACUAGCUUUGGACUUUGGAAUAAAGCAAGCAAUAUCAAUUAUCUAAACUCUCUUCUCCCUAAACCUCUCAAGCCCGAUCGUCCGAGAGGGGCAUAACCUCCGGAUCGGAAGAACGGCAGGAGACUACGAUCUUCGUAGUCGAGGGCCACCUACCCUAGAUUACCAGGCCCUUGACACAUACCAUUUGGUAUAUUGCUUAUUGCAAAUAUUUGCUUGCUUUAUAUCUGGUGUUCUCUUGCUCUUUUCCUUGUUCAUUUACAGAUUGAUCAACUCUCUUUGCUUUUUUUUUUCUUCUGUAGGGUGGAUAUGGAACAAAUCUUGCCCCAGCAAAACUAGUUGGGAAGAUUUUUACCUCGCUUGAUAAAUCUAUAUCCCGCAUGAUGGGUACACCAUCUGCACCACUUCCACCAUUACCACAUGGAUCUGUUAGUGAUAGAGAGAGCCACUCUAUGCCUGCAGCAGCAAAAUUUGGAAAUAGCCAAUCGGUAAUGACCAUGUCAUCGUUAAUGCCAUCUGCUUCAAUGCAGUCAAUGACUGAGAUAGCAGAGAAUAGUGGUGGCACUGGCAGGACAAUUGCACACAACAGAAGUGUUUCUGAGCCGGACUUUGGUAGAACAUCAAAACAGGUACUUGCAAAGAGAAAUUUGAAGACAUUAAUUUCUGGUUAUGUUGAAUUUGAAAGAUCAUUUGGUAUUUCUCCCCUUGUCUCAUUUGAAAAACCUAACAGGGUGCUGGAUCAGAUGGCACACAGAGUAGUGCAUCAGGAUCUGGUAGUUCUCGAUUUGGUUGGCUAGUGCAGAAGACUAUGGAUUUAGUGUCGAAAUCCCACCGCCAGGUAUUUUUUACUAAGUUAUGAAAUGACUAUUUCCAGUUUUUGCCCCCAUCUUGUCUCUUCUAUAUGGAACACCAACCUUAAGAUCCUAUUUCUGUUAUGAAGGCAAAAUUAGGGGAUCAGAACAAAUUUUACUAUGAUGAAAAGUUGAAGCGGUGGGUGGAAGAAGGUGCUGCGGUUCCUGCCGAGGAGCCUCCUCUUCCUCCACCUCCAACAAAACCAUCUUUCCAGAAUGGUAUGCCAGACCAUAAGUUGAAUGGCCCCAUGAGUGUAAACCAUGCUCCCAAUGGAGUCACAGAAUGGAAAUCCUCAAAUUCUUCGGAGCAAGGAGGUCUGGGUAUGCCUCCAAUUCCACCUAGCCAAAACCAGUUUUCUGCUCGUGGACGGAUGGGUGUCCGGUCCAGGUAAUUCGACAGUGGCAUUGUCAUUUAGUACUCUUAAUUAUUAUUUCUAUAUUGCUCUCUAAGGUAUUAUACAGAAAACUGAUGGCUUUUCUGUUUUCAUUUUAGAUAUGUUGACACAUUCAAUAAAUCGGGUGCGUCUGGAGCAGUGCCAUCAUAUAACAAACCAGCUGCUCCAUCUGUGACACCACCAGCUGGUGCCAAGUUCUUCAUGCCGACUGCAGCACCUGCUGCUGCAGAUCAGAUGGUGCCACACCAAGCAGCAGAGAUACACAGUGAAACCAUCCAUCAGGAUGAGCGGUCAGCCUCACCACCAGCAGAAACAUCAUUUUCUUCAACCCCACCACCCACACAAUUUUCAUCACCCCCACCGCACAUGCAAUUUUCAUCACCAAUGCAAUCAACAAUUCAUCGGCAAUCUAGUAUGGACAACAUCUCCACCCCUUACCAGGGUUCUGGGGUAUCAUCAUUAAGCAGCAGCAGCUCAUUCUCAAAAUCACGAGCCGCAUCCUGGAGUGGGACAUACUCUGAGCAGUAUAGUGCUUUUGCGGGCACUCAAUCACCUGAUAGACAGACGAUGCCUUCACCACUCAUGCCUGGCAAACCAUCACACAGUCGUUCCAACAGCAACUCAUCAGUGCAGCUCAAUGGAUUGGCAGAGGAUCUUCAUGAGGUUGAGCUCUAACUGACCACUGCUCAGCAUGACCGAGGUGACUCAUGUCUUGUAUCCACAAAGACAGCCAUGGCAAACCCCUGACGGUUCCAGAAACCCCAAGCGGGUGACAGAAAAGAAGCUGCCCUGACAACGCUGAUCACAGGGAUGCCACAGUUGGAAUUGGCUGGUGCGACUUUGCAUGAGAUUCUGGCAGCGCGCUCUAAACCACCGAGGUGCGUCGGACCUGUACUAAUAGAAAUGCAGGGUUUUUGAACAUUUUGUAGCUAUAUAUAGAUGUUGGUUUUACGUUUUAGAGAGAAGGGAAAGGGUUGGGUGGGCCUUGUUUACAGGUGAGAAGAGGAGAGAAGCAGCAUGCAGAUGCCCUUGUACAGAUAAUCUGCCCCUACCCAAUUUGUUUAAACGCAAAGAAACCCACACCCCCACUCCAUAUUGAUUUUCGUUUUUGGGAGAAGGAUAGAAGAGAAGGUGUGUUCUAGUAGUGUGAGAAGCAUGGCUCUGUAGAGUGUUGUUGUUAUAUCAUUAUAUGGUGUAGUGUCCUAGCCGUAUACACAGUAUAUUAUCACUGUUUAUUCUUUGGAGACGAAUCGAUUCUUUCAUCUUGAAACAAUUAGUGUUGCCUUGCCUUGUUGUAUCAUGGGCGAUGUGAUUGAUGCAAUUGUAUCUGUGGUCGACACAUGUUUUGUCCUGUCGCUGAUGGAGUCCGAGUCGGACGGGCACUCGCCGCUGCCUUUGAUAUAUUACCGGCCUGGGAGUUGCGCACCAACACAAUCGCUAGACCCGGGCUGGAUCAACAUGGCAGCGGAGAAGGACGACAAGGCAGACAGGGAGGAGAUCUUGUUGGAUGUCGACGACAAGGAGGUCUCCUUGGAUCUCGACGACAAGAAGGCUAAGGCUGCGGCUGCGGCUGCGGCGAUGGCAGGGCCAGGGGGUGCCAACAAGAAGACCAAGAUGGUGAUGGUGAGUAAAAGCAUCGUGGACGACCUGCUGGCAAACCCCCCCUGAGCCCCUGGGUGACACCUUGGCUUCUACUGCCGCUGAAUUGGGAUGGGAUACUGCCGUCUUUGCUAAGGUAGAUGCGCUCUUUGACAAGGAGCAUGCCCAAGACAUGAGCAUCAUUAGGCAGUGCCAGAACGGGUAUAAGGUUGUGUAUGAUCACUUGGGUUUUGAGAUGGUGGAGGUGGAGGUUGAUGACGACAGUGACGACGACUAAGGGCAUGGUGGAGGUGGAGGUCGGUGAUGACGAAUAGUGCCAAGACUAGAUAGAUUUCGUCAAAAUAAAAUUCUAGAUAGAUAGAUAGAUGGAUUCUUUUGGAGCCUAGAUAGAUCGCUCUAAUUAUGUUCUGUAUUUUGAUGCUAUUGAUAGCUAGGAAAAUUGAGCAUCAUAUUAUUUACACAAGCUCGACUGAUUUGCACAUAUCUCUGAGUCCUUUUUUUUUUUGUGUAUGUAGUUAUAAAUGCAGCGGUUUUACGGAAGUGUAGAUGAUAACUAAUACGUCAAGUAAACACGGCAGAAGCCAUCUUGACCACGUAGUACAACAGGUCGGAGCGGAGCAAUACAAAAUUGUUAAAUCCUCAAGGGAGGUGAGCCUUGCUCGUUCCCCGGCCUGGAUGGAACUCUAGAGAUGCUUCGACACAAAAAUGUACUACUCCUUGAACCUGGUGCGCCUGAGCUCAUCCACCACGUCGUCGAUGCAUGAGCUCGCUCCUUCUCCUUGACACGAGCAAUGCAAGCAAGGGAGCUUGUUCCCCACCCCACCGACCGCCCUCCCCUGUACACCACUAACCACCGUCUCCAUCCUCCCCACCUCACACUUGGGUUGCAGGUCCGUGGCAUGAUAUGAUAGCAGUGGAAACGGGAAAAUCAGUCAGUUCCGGUUUGCAAUAAAAGCCUUAGACUGUCUCCAACAAUGGUCACCCAAAAUACAAGACCUAUUUGUCCUUUGGGUAGCGCUACAGGUAAAAGGUUCCAUGCCUAUUUUUAGUCUUCUCCAACAACAAGACUUAAACUCUGCAAAUGGGUCUCGAAGAGAGAGAAUAUCCAAAUUUGGGUUAUGCCUCUCCUGAUACCCAAAAUGGGUCUUCUGUAUGGGUACUCUGUUGGAUGCUAUAGGUAUUGUGUUGGAAACCUAUUUUGGCUCUUCUAUCGGAGAUAGCCUUAGAUUUCAACUCCCAUUGGCUAUAGCAUACUACACUACUGACUUGCCGGGGAGGAAAUGAACAAAACUAGAGAAAACAGGAUGCAGUACCGCGUGGUUUUUGUUGGCACUUGGUGGUCUGGUGUGGUCAGAUUCCAAGCAAACCGCCUGCUCAUCAGCUCCAGGUUUUGCCUCGCCAGCUGGGCUGCUACUACAGCAGCCUGCAGCAGUAGUCCAUUGGCUGCUGAUUAGUUGCUGCUUUCCGAUACGAUCCAUCAUACGAACCUUUCAACGCACGUCCAGAUCAAUAUUCUAAUCCAGUGCUGUGCUUCCCUGGUUUUUGACUAGUAUAUAUAGGGAUUUGUAUACUCUAAUUAACCCUUCCUCUUCCACUGCAUGCUCUGAUUGCAAUCACAACUGGGAACCAAAUCAUAAUGCUACUACUAGACUAGAUAGAUUGUAUUUAAAUUCAUGUUUAAAUUAGAAAAAGGUAACAAAACCGUGCACCCGCCUUUGUUUGUUUCCAUCGCUACCUACACCUUUUUUUUAUUGUUGACGAUAAUCUUCUCCACCGGCUUCACUUAUAAAACUAUUUUAGAAAAAAAAAACAGUUCACAACAGCUUAUAAAGUUAUUAUAAACUAUAUUAAAUAGGCCCUUAACUAAAGUUUUAUAUAGUAUUCAUUUUUAAUGGAGGAGUAGAUAAGAUGGAGGUAUAUUAUAUUAAAACCAGCAGCUGUUGGAGGUAAAGUGGUUUUCAGUGAGUGGGGCCGGGGUAGAAAUGGAAUUGAAUAUAAAUAUAGCCCGAUGGACCUUUCACCUCCUACGACUACGAGUAGCCAUUGUCUCCACAUCCACCAAUCUCAUUCUCAUUCAGCAAGCGAGGAAGGAAAUCCUCUCGAUCCAAUUCCCCUAGAUUUGAUUUGAUUUGAACCUACCUUGCCAAUCAGAUCACACACAGCAGCAGCAGAUCACCACAAAUCACAAGAUGAAGAAGGCGUCGUCGCUGUCGGAGCUGGGGUUCGACGCCGGCGACGCGUCGUCAGGCUUCUUCCGCCCCGUGUCCGACUCCUCCUCCUCCGCCGCCGACGGGGUGGUGGUGACCCCGUCGGCGCACCGUCGGAGGCUGACCAAGGUAUCCGUGAUCGGCGCGGGCAACGUGGGGAUGGCCAUCGCGCAGACCAUCCUGACGCGGGACCUCGCCGACGAGAUCGCGCUGGUGGACGCGCUCCCGGACAAGCUGCGCGGGGAGAUGCUGGACCUGCAGCACGCGGCGGCGUUCCUCCCCCGCACGCGCCUGGUCUCCGACACCGACAUGUCCGUCACCAGGGGCUCCGACCUCGCCAUCGUCACCGCCGGCGCGCGGCAGAUCCCGGGGGAGACGAGGCUCAACCUGCUGCAGAGGAACGUCGCGCUGUUCAGGAAGAUCGUGCCGGCGCUGGCGGAGCAGUCCCCCGACGCGCUGCUGCUCGUCGUCUCCAACCCCGUCGACGUGCUCACGUACGUCGCGUGGAAGCUGUCGGGUUUCCCGGCCAGCCGCGUCAUCGGGUCGGGAACCAACCUCGACUCGUCCAGGUUCAGGUUCCUCCUCGCCGAGCACCUCGACGUCAACGCCCAGGACGUGCAGGUGCGUGCGUCGUCUCCAGUCGCCGUCGCUCCCCAGCUUUUUUUGUUCGAUUCCCGCGCCCUGUGCUGUGCUGCCCCCUGUCCUGUCCUCUGAUCGUGAUGGGACAUGACUGGUGGGGUCACGUGACACCUGGGGCCCAUCUCUCCACGGCCACUGGCCAGAGCAUGGCAUCAGUUCCCUUGGGAGGGAGGGAGGGAGCAUGUGAUCCCUCUCCAUGUGGGGCUGGAGCUCUGCUCGCAUUACUUUCAUCUCAUCUCACAGGGAUCUUGUUUAGUUCUAAAAAAUUUUUAUAAAAAAAUUUAGAUUCUCAAUCUUUUGACGCAGGUAUAGAACAUUAGAUAAAAAUAAUAGCUAAUUAUACAGUUUACUUAUAAUUUGCGAGACAAAUAUUUUGAGUCUAUUUGUGACAUACAAACGAACAAUGUUUAUUUUAUAAAAUUUUUUAGAACUAAUUAUACUUCUAAGCAUGAACAACUACAUGAUGAUAUCGAGAAACCUAGGCCUUGUUUAGUUCCAAAUUUUUUUUGCAAAAUCGACACUGUAGCACUUUUGUUUGUAUUUUACAAAUAUUGUCCAAUCAUGAACUAACUAGGACUCAAAAGAUUCGUCUCGUGAUUUACAGCUAAACUGUGUAAUUAGUUUUUGUUUUUGUCUAUAUUUAAUGUUUUAUGCAUGUGCCACGAGAUUCGAUGUGACGGAGAAUCUUGAAAACUUUUUGGUUUUCGGGGUGAACUAAACAAGGCCAUAGUAGACAGACAGUGUAAAGAGAGGACAGAACUGAUACUAGUAUCUUCAUAGUAAAUAUUUUCGAAUACAUAAAUGUUAAUUCUAUUUUUUAUAAACUUAGGACUUAUUUAGCUCAUCCAAAAACAUUUUUUAAAAAGAAAAUUUCUCAUCACGUCACAUCAAAUCUUACGGCAUAUGUAUGAAGUAUUAAAUAUAGUUGAAAAUAAAAACUAAUUACAUAGUUUGCCUAUAAAUCAUGAGAUGAAUCUUUUAAACUUAGUUAGUCUAUAAAAUUUUAAAAAAAAAUCGAAACUAAAUAAGGCUUAAGUAAAUUUUUUAAAAAAGUAAAACUGAGCAGUACGAGUAUAGUACUGGUUGCCCUCUUUCUCUUUCCGGGCGGCGCACAUGGUUGUCUCCUUGUGCCGACCACCUUCUUCAAGUCUGUCAAAAGGUCUCCUUGUGCACCUGCUAAGAAAAUGUCUUUGCACGUUCAACUAGAACCACGACUAAUGCUAGAUUGCUAGUAGUACGUCUAGUACCACAUGCACAUUCCAUGAACCAUGAUGACCGCCACUCCAAAGCUUUUUCAAAGCCACCAGCAGCUUCAACUAGAGCCACGAUGUUUGUUCUAAUAAAGUCUGUAACUCCAGCUUCAUUUCGUCCACUGUAGUACUCAUUAUUCAUUUCAAAGGCGCAUCAUUCUGCUAGCCAUCGAUAGUAUACUCGUACAUGCCAAGAGUAAUUUAGUGGACCAGCGCAUCUGAUUACAGCGGAAGCACCUCUCAAACAGAAUGUGACAUGUAUAGCACUAGCUCUACUUUCGCUAUUUCAGUUUAUCUUAGCUUAAUAACAUGUACAGUCGAGUCAGCACACAACGCCUAGCAGAUUCACCGUCACAAGAUUCACAAGGUUCUUCAUUUGAGCCUUUAAUAUAUAUAUAUAUAGUGCAAUACUAGUUUAAAGUUUAAAUACCUUUUUUCAUGUCAAUUGUUGCAUAAUCUUGACUGCUGAAAUGAGAUUCGCACGUUAUUGAUGGAUCGAUUUGUUUGUAUUGCAGGCGUACAUGGUGGGCGAGCACGGCGACAGCUCGGUGGCGGUGUGGUCGAGCGUGAGCGUCGCAGGAAUGCCGGUGCUCAAAUCUCUUCAGCAGAGCCACAGCAGCUUCGACGAGGAAGCCCUGGAGGGCAUCCGCCGCGCCGUCGUCGACAGCGCCUACGAGGUGAUCAGCUUGAAGGGCUACACCUCCUGGGCCAUCGGCUACUCCGUCGCCAGCCUCGCCGCGUCGCUGCUCCGCGACCAGCGCCGCAUCCACCCGGUCUCCGUGCUCGCCAGGGGGUUCCAUGGCAUCCCCGACGAGAACGACGUCUUCCUCAGCCUCCCCGCCAGGCUCGGCCGCGCCGGCGUCCAGGGCGUCGCUGAGAUGGAGCUCACCGAGGAGGAGGCCAAGCGACUGCGGCGCUCCGCCAAGACGCUCUGGGAGAAUUGCCAGCUCCUCGGCCUUUAAUUUGAUCGAUCUCUUUUCAUUUCAUUCACGCUCCAUCUCAUCUCGUCGUGUUUAACAGUUUGAUUUUGGAUCGUCGUAAUAUUACUAUUACCGUCCUGAAACAGUUGAUUACUGCAUCAAUCAUGCUAUUUACACUAGUAGCGCAUCCGGUGUUCAAUAAAAUUACUAUGUGUUUUCUAGUUGCAUUAGUUAUUAGUAGUAGUAGUACUGAUUUCUGCAUUUGGUUUAUUUGGUUCAUCAUCGUGAUCCAUUGACGAUGGCAUUAUUACGCACGAAGUAUGAUUAAUGUCGCUAAGCCCCAACAACACUAGGAUCUCACUCUCACACGUACUAGGUCUAUGUAUUGAGCUUGAAGGGAGAGGAACAAGAAAUUUGUAACAACUCAUUAACUCGGAAGCUUCCUCGGCCAAUUGUUGUCUGCCUCCGAUCCUUCACAUUCCCCAAGCUAAGUCUCCCUCUUUCUGGCACCUGGUGCUCGGAGUCGGAGAUGGAGGGGAUCGCGCGUUGAUGACAUCAAAUUCAAGGUCAAGAACAGACCUGCGCAAUUGAGCCCGACGGGUUUUCACCCAUGAGCCUUAAUUAGUGCACAAGGCUGAGCCAGAAAAAUUUUUCUCAGUCCUUCCUAGCCUGAAAUAUUUAAUUUAACUUUUUUACAUUGUAAACCAUGAGUACAGUCGCCAAGUCCUAGCCCGAUCUAAAGAAUUAGGCCAACUCGCCAAUAUAGGACAGUGGGAGGGAUUUUUUUUUUUCGGGCCCCAAACAACGGGGUUUUUCCGGCUUAAACGUAAAAUGCUCAGGUAAGUUAAGAAUAUCGCCAAACAUUAGGAUUGCACAGUGUUCGACGCUUAGUCCUCUACCGCCCUAGCAUCAUGUCCUCCUGCGUUAGCGACCACACACUCAUCUGUCAGACCACACCCGCUAAUAGGGGCAACGGGCUUAUAUAUUUACCAAGGGUGGAGAGAGACAAGAAAUUUAUAACAAUCUCAUUAACAUGGAAGCUUCCUUCACUCGAGAGUGGAUUUUCCACACGUAGCUUUGGCCGCCAGACCUAUCAUGGCCAUAGGAGGGGGCUUAAGACUGUGCUAGGCCAAUGAUGACCACAGAAGGAUGAAGGAAUGGUGGGGGUGGGGGAGGGGGGAGUCCCGCAAAUGGUGCCCUUGCCCCAACCCUGUCCGGACGCCUCCUCUGCUAACCACUCUAGCAACGUCACCGCCGCCUCCACCUUGUCGUUUCUCUCAUCCCCAACACCAGACCUACUCUUGCCUCUCAUGAUCCCUUUCUAAAAGCCCAUCAACGAUGAUGCAGAACAGAGGGAGAGGAAGAGAAGGCUGAGGGCAUGGUGGUGGCGGGCGAUGUGGCAGGAGCCAGGGGCGGUGGAGAUCGGGGCCGAUGACUAGGCGUUGUGGAGGCUAGCACGGUGCCAGAGCUAUGGCUGUCGGGGUGGGUGCGGCAUUGGCUUGGGAAACGAGGCCAUGAGCGAUGGCGGCGUCGUUGGGAGAGCAGAGAGAGAGAAGAGAUGCUUGAAAAUGUGUGCUACAAAGGUGAAGAAUGGCUGAUACGUGUGGUCCUGCUUUUCCCUUCCUUACCCAAUUUCUCUCUAUCUUCUUCCCCCAUCUCCAAGUCUUCCUCUUCCUUCCAAUCUAUAUCCAACACGAUGCUGGAGGCUCUCGGCUCAUGACAUUCUAGUACCAGAGUACAUGUUGCGGAUCAUGGAGUAGUUCUCUAAAAUCCCAUAGCAUACAACGUAUCAUUUGGUCGGCAAGAUUAUUCUUCUCGCAUCUCAUUAAUUAUUUCGUCAUUCAUCGUGGUUAGCCUAUUAUCAUCCUGGUGCGGGGGUGCAAUCAUCCAACCCUCACGGCCGGUAAUUUCUCUGCUAACUCGAACCGAUAAGAAAAUUGAUUCACCGAUAAAUAAUUUUUCUAUUCUUGUCACUUAUUUUUUAUUUAUUUGCAUUGUUGGUUUUGCUCCUUUAUAGGGGGAUUUCGUUUUCUAGUAGGAUUUACUUGGAAUUUGAAUAAUAUUACAUAGUCGAUGCCCAAACUGUAAUAUUUACUACUUGCAUAUAGGUGGGGACUGGAACGGCAAUUGAGUUUUUUUUCCUUCUUUUUCAUAAGAGAAGUUGGGGGCAAUGACUAGUAGGAUACGAAAGACAGAUCAUAUUCGUGGAAGCUUCCAAGGAGAGAAGCUGCAUGUAGGAAUUGAACGUGCGUCUAGAUGUGCAUGUAUAACAUAACAAAUCAACAUCAGCUAAAUUUCAACGAAGCGCGACAUGCAUGCAAUAUGUUGUGUGUAGUCCUGGUCCAAUCCUUAGGCAUGCAUAGUACGUACUGUCAAGGUGUAUAUAUAGCCGUAUGCGUGAAUCCACGCGUUUUAAGUACGUAUCAACGUAUGUAUAUAUGAUGCAUGACCGAGCAGCUAGCUAGUAUAGCCAUGUAAUGUCAUGGAAAUAAUGGGCCGACGAUAUAUAGGAUGACAAAAAGAGGGAGCGAGGAGUGGAACAGUAUAGCUCGCUAGCUACGACGACAAUCUAGAUGAUGUGGAAAUGUAGGGGUGGAAAAAAUGGCGAUCGAGACGGUGGUCUCUUUCAAGACAACAUGCAGGUCUCUCCCUUUUCAAAACCGGCGACUUGCAUGCAUUGCAAAAAAAGUAUCGGAGGAAUCGGAAGAAAGGUUGAUGAUGCUAUCAGAUCAUCUGUCAGUUGGGAAGAAUUGAAGGAGGACGAAGUCAAGAUGCAUGCAUGGUAGGGCGGCUAUUGCGUUUCACAAGCAGGUUUGUGCGCGUGCGCUUGUUUGACAAGUCCGUUCCCCGUCCCUUCCAAGAAAUUAAAUAUCGUCAUGCUAUAUAUGCAUGUCGAUCCAGUACGUUGUUGAUCCGAUCCAUGUACAUGCCGUGACGAGACCGUGCAGGCCGGCCAAUCAACUUUAUUAGGCUACUCCAUUGACCAAUGGAUUUGGAUUGAUCCCCAAGAAAAGCAAUUAUGUGUAACACUAGCUAGCUAGUAGUACGGAGAUCUGGACCCUAGUGCAAGUGAAGGAAGGAAUGAGAGAUCCACGACGACCCAUGACUUUGAAUUGAAAAGAAGACCAAAUUAAUUACUAAUAACCCAACAAUGCAAAACCAGCAGCAGCUAGCAGCUUCAUUUCCCAUUCCGGCGGGCUGCUGCCUCCAGUAUUUGCUUGGUUGCACCACCGGCGGCGUGCGAUCCUCGGCGGCUGGGCCCGCCGCGCCGGCUACUUUUUAACUUAAUUUCAACGCCUUGAAUUCUUCUCCAAGGUACUAGUAAAAAGGUUGAAUAAUCCGACCGGCCAAGAGCCGAGCCAAUUAACCCGGGAUGGGAUUGCCAUGCCGACUGCAUGCCUUGCUGUGCCUUCUCACCAGCGGCACUACCGCCGUACGUACACACUCACAUGAGGUCUGCUACUCAACCACUUGAUUUGAAAAAGGGUGACCUAACAUUUUAUUAUUUUAAUUAUAUAUGUCUGUCUAAAAGGAAAGGACAGCGGCGACCAUGACCAGACCACAUAUAUAGUGGAGGAUCCCCACUGAAUUUGAAUGUAGUACUAUAGUAGCAUUAAUUAGCAUGGUGUAUAGUAUGUGCACUAGUAGAACAUGCAAGUUGUUUGUGAAUAUACGCCGUCUCCCCUAUCUGCAUCUGCUGAUAACCUACCGUACCUACGUACGUAAUUAAGCACAUGCGUAUGUCCAUGCAUCAUGGAUCUACUACUACUCCCUCAACUUCGUCCCAAAAACAUGCCAUCCUAGAACUGAAGUUAGUCAAAUUAAUUCUAAUUCUAAUUAGAUUUAUAGAAAAUAGCAUCAACAUUUGUAUCUUUAAAUAGGUUUAUAAUAAAAUUACAUUUCAUUCUUUAUUUAAUGGUACUUAUUAUUACAUAUACAAAAUAUUAUUACAUUUUAUACAUUUAGCAAAAGUUAAGAUUGAUCGUCUCCUCAGAAAAUGAGAAUAAUACUCCCUACAUCCAUAAAAGAAUACAACUAUCUGAUUUGUAUCGGUUAAACUAGCUUAAUUUUAACCAAAUUUAUAGUGAAUAGAGUUAUUAUUUAUGUCUCUAAAUAAGUUUACUUAGAUGAUAUAUUCCUGAUUAAUUUAAUGAAACUUAUUUAGUAUCAUAAAGUUUGACUCCACAAAAAAUUGAAAAUAACACCUUUUUUGUGGAUGGAGUACAUAUACGUCCUAUCUUGCUAGUAAAUAAAUAUGUGACAUACGAUACGUCCUCGAAAAGAGUUUAGCUUAGCUUGCAAUAACCAAAAAUCAAUGCAUGGAAUCCAACGAAAAAUCCCGGUAUUGAUAUGAUGCAUGUGACAAUGCACUAAAUCACAUGCAUAUGCUCCUCCAAGGCAUUACUACUAUAUUUCAUCUACCUACAGUGUCACACUCUGAGAUGUACUACAAUGCAACUGUGCAAUUGAAAACCGCUUAACAACGCCUCUGUUUUCAGGAAGUUUCAUUUGGUACAGCAGUAGUUUACGCUGUCAACAACGCAUAGAGACGCCACUGGUUUGCAUAUGGCCACCUAUAUGUAUAUAUAAUAUAACAAAGUCAAGCAAGCAUCAUUUCCUUUUCAAAAAGUGUUUUUUUUUCUUUUCUUUCAGAAAGAUCGAUCGAAAACGGCUCAGAGUUUAGCUGAAACCGGUUGAUUUCAGUUUUUCAGGGGGCUUGUCUACCUCCCUCCUCCCUAAUAAUACUAUAACCUACCAGGUAGCUAGUAGCUUAUAAAUAGCAGCCCUCCCUUAUCAUCUCACCAUAUACAGCAUCGAUCACCAAAGGCUCCCUCAAACACUUCCCGCUGCUCCCUCCAACUGCAACUAGACCAGAUCGUCAACACGCAAAUUUAGCAAGAUGAAGAAGGCCACGUCACUCUCCGAGCUGGGCUUCGACGCCAACGGCGCCUCCGCGGGCUUCUUCCGCUCGGUGUCCGACGACGCCAUGGACGACUCCACGCCGACGUCGCACCACCGCCGGAGGCUGACCAAGGUGUCCGUCAUCGGCGCGGGCAACGUGGGCAUGGCCAUCGCGCAGACCAUCCUCACCCGUGACCUCGCCGACGAGAUCGCGCUGGUGGACGCGCUCCCGGACAAGCUCCGCGGGGAGAUGCUGGACCUGCAGCACGCGGCGGCGUUCCUCCCCCGCACGCGCCUCGUCUCCGACACCGACAUGUCCGUCACCAGGGGCUCCGACCUCGCCAUCGUCACCGCCGGCGCGCGGCAGAUCCCGGGGGAGACGAGGCUCAACCUCCUCCACCGCAACGUGGCGCUGUUCAGGAAGAUCGUGCCGGCGCUGGCGGAGCACUCACCGGACGCCAUCCUGCUAAUCGUCUCCAACCCCGUGGACGUGCUGACCUACGUGGCCUGGAAGCUGUCGGGUUUCCCCGUGAGCCGCGUGAUCGGGUCGGGAACGAACCUGGACUCGUCGAGGUUCCGGUUCCUCCUCGCCGAGCACCUGGACGUGAACGCGCAGGACGUGAACGCGUACAUGGUGGGCGAGCACGGCGACAGCUCGGUGGCGGUGUGGUCGACGGUGAGCGUGGCGGGGAUGCCGGUGCUCAAGUCGCUGCAGGAGAGCCACAGCAGCUUCGGCGAGGAGGCGCUGGAGGGCAUCCGCCGCGCCGUCGUCGACAGCGCCUACGAGGUGAUCGGGCUCAAGGGAUACACGUCGUGGGCCAUCGGCUACUCCGUCGCCAACCUCGUGUCGUCCCUGCUCCGCGACCAGCGACGCAUCCACCCGGUGUCCGUGCUCGCUUCCGGCUUCCACGGCAUCCCCGACGACCACGAGGUGUUCCUCAGCCUCCCCGCCAGGCUCGGACGAGCCGGCGUCCUCGGCGUCGCCGACAUGGACCUCACCGACGAGGAGACCAGGAGGCUACGCCGCUCCGCCAAGACGCUCUGGGAGAACACCCAGCUCCUCGGCCUCUAGGUCUAGGUUCUCGUCUGUUUCUGUAGCUGAUCAUCAUAUAUUUUGGGAGACGAAGGUAAAAGGAAGGAGUACACUCGUACUAGUUGAUUAUUAAUUUUUGUGCUGUAAAAUUAUGGAUGCAUGGAGCAAAGCAUUUGGUUCAUCGAUGAUCGUGCGAUGUAAUCAUUUGGUAGCUAGCUCUCAAUGCAAGUCUUGACACCAUUUGUUGUCUUAUGAAUCUGUAUAUGCAUUGCCUACCUUGUAAACUUGAUACAAUCAUAUGGAACAGUUUUAAUAAAGUUUGCUGCUACAAUGGUAUAUAUAUAUAUAUAUAUAUAGUUCCUCACUGAUGUGGUCAUGAUUUGAAUUUUUUGGAACCUCCUGCAUUCCGUGUUUUGGUGACUCGAUCCUCCAUCCAAAAGCUCGGCGCGGUGAAGUUGAAUGCUGCAUGUCUGUCCGCUGUCGUUUCAACGUUCAACCAGUGGGAAAAUCCCUAAUUUUCUUGUGCUUUUUUAUGAAGAGAAAGGAAAAGAAAAAGAAAAAUGGACGGGCCUCUGCAACUCGGCCUAGGCCACUGGCCAGGGCUUUGAGAAGAGCUCAGAUAUCUGGUCCGGGCUAUGCCUGCAGUUGGAGAGGAGAGGAGGCCCGUAUACGCAUGCAUGUUGAAUUAGGCCUGGACUGAAAAGUGUGUGGGGGGAUGGAGGCCCAUCCGGCCCGUACAUGCAGGCCGGGGCUGAAAAGUUGGAAUGGAGGCCCACCGUCUAAGGGCAUGUACAACGGGUCUUUUGGCCCCGUCUCCGUGAUGACAUAUUUAUUUGUGAAAAGAACCCUGCCAAUGCCAAGAGACGGAGCCGUCGUCGUCUCACGAGACGACGAGGAGAGCUCGUGGCCCGAGGUCGAGUCGCCAGCUCCAGCACCGUUGUAUGGUCGCCUCGCCGGCCCCUUGGUCUCGCGGAUCCCAUGCGCGCACAAGGUUCAGUUUGGGUGCGCCCCAAACUGUCGAGUGGCAAAGCCUCGUCCGCAUCUAGGAAGAGCAAGGGUGCCUCACCGGCGGCGGCGGCGGCGCCUCGUAUCCUUCCUCCGCCCAACCGUCGCGAGCUGCACCGUAGGCUCCGCCCUGGCCGCCGCGAGACGUGCGGGCCAGCUCCGCCGCGCCGUAGGUUGCGCAUGGGCGAGCUCUGCCCUGGCCACCAUGAGAGCUGUGAGCUGAAGCUUGCUAGUUAAUUUUCUGCUGCUUUUUUCAUCAAUGGCUGCACAAACAGGACGAUGAGGACGAGCCGAAGAGGAGGAGGCGGAGGUGGAGGCGGAGAGCCCGGUCGCCAUCGAGCAGCAUUUUCAGGUUGGACUCAGGAUACUAUUUUUUUUCUGUCCCUUUUUUUUGCGUCAGGAUGUCAUCUCGAACAAGGAUAACUGGAUAAGCACAUAUAGCUCAAUAUAUAGUAUGUCGUCACUCCAAUUAUUCCACAUAAUUAUCCACAAAGUAGGAUAGUAUCCAGGAACUGUGAAUCCUCUGAAUUUUCAGGUGUCUGUUACCUGAAUGUGAACUCAUAUCUGAAUGUUAAUGUGCAUUCAGUUCAGUAUCUGAAUAUUCAGCUGAACUGGAUGUGGAUUUCACUCAGAUUCUGCAGCCUGUUAAUCUUCAACUGGCUCCAAUGUUGCAGUUUUCAAACUUCAGGUUCUGCAGCUUUGUAUGAUGGACGAUGGAGUGGAAGCUCCUAGUAGCUACCUGAUCAAUUGAAAAAGAACUUGUACUGUAUUUCCUCCUAGCUGUUUGCAUUCGAUGAGAAUCUGAUGCUAGUUCGAAUGUACAUGUACCCUCGUGUUGAAUAUGUGCUUUCGUGUUGCCUGCAUGAACAUGUUCCUGAUCUGAACAUGCUGCUUGUAUUGUGAGUUCAGUCUUGUUUAAACCACGACAAGAGUUGUGUUUCAGCACUAAUUUAUGGAAAACUGAAUGACAGUUGAACUAAUCUGUUGGUGGAAUGAUUUUGUUGUGGUUUAAACAAAUAGCAACACAACGGUAUAUAAAAUAAAUAUUUAUGAAUGAUCUUUGGCUACAUGCAAAGCAUUAAACAGUUUGCAGACAACCUCAUGUCUAUGGAUUGUAUGAUCUGUCUCUAUACUUGUCUAUAUAUUAGAUUCGAGGCUCUUAAAGGCCGUCUAUGGGUUGUACAUGCCCUAAUUGGCUCUGCUUUCUCUUCUUCUUCUUCAACACAGGAGCGUGAACGUGACGGCCUCUCAUCUCAUGACCGAACGCUCGGCAAUGGCCGCCGGUGGGAAGGUAGACGUGCGCCCCUGUCUGCCACUCUGCUUGGCUAGUCUCACAAACACGUGAGCCGCAGCAGGAAUGGGACCAGCAAAGCAUGCCACUCAUCACAUGGCUUGCCAUCUCGAAUCCCGAUGUGCAAAAGCAUAGCAUUGCAUAGGGAUUCCCCCACAUUCUCUGUUCAUCUACUCUCUGCUUUUGGCCUUUGGAGGAGGCAAGUCAAACCAGGCUGCGUGGCCGUGUCGGAUCUCUUGUUCGCGGCGCCGUGUCGGAUCUCUUUCCGUUCGUCGUCUUCAUCAUCAUGGGGAGGUCAUGGACAUGGAGACCACCCAUCCCCUUCGUCGCGUUCCCGUUUUACCCCGUCCACUCGUCGUGUGAAAGUGAAACGGCCGAGGGGCACAGCAGUCACUUGUCUUCGCUUCUCCCUCCGAGCACUCCUCCUCCUCCUCCUCAAUUCCCUGGGAGUCGCCAUCAUCACUUCUCCCUUGGAUUGGAUGGCAAUUCGCAUCUCCUAGCCGCCGCGCCUCCUCCACUCCUCUUUCAGUCCCAAGUCCCAACUCCCCUACCCCAUCCACCGCCACCAUGAGCCGCGAUCGCUACUUCCACCGCCUCCUCGACGUCGACGACGACCCUUUCUUCCCAUCCUUCCCCUUCCCUACCACCUCUUCAUGCCCCUACAUCUCCGCCUCCGCACCUCACCACCGCUUCCUCCUCGACGACCAGCCCUUCUACCCCACCUCCUGCCCGCUCGGCUUCACCUCCCCUACCCCCUCCCUCAUCGACACCUUCGACCUCGAUCUCCUCCUCCCGCCCCACGCCGCCGUCGCCACGCCCCGUUGCCCGGCCUUCGACUUCGACCCGUUCCUCCUCGACGCGCUCGGCCACCGCGUGUCCGCCCUCGAACGCGCGCUCGCCCUCACCCCCGCCCCCGCCCCCGCCCCGCCCCGCCGCAAGUACACCUACGCCGCCGAGGCCCACGGCAGGAAGGUCAAGUGGACCGCCGAGGACCGGCCCUCCGGCGGCAGGAACCUCAAGUGGGAGGCCGAGCUCAGGACGCCCCACCACGACGGAUUCGACCGCAAGUGGAAGUGGGAGUCCAAGGCGUCCGCCGCCGGCGCUGCCACCAAGGUCAAGUGGGAAAAGGAGAUCAAGGGCAAGGGCUUCCUCGAGCCUUGGUCCAACUCUUACUCCGUCGAGGAGACCUACGGUGACGAUGACCAUGAUGACGACAAGGAGAAGAAGCCUACUGAUGUUAAUGUUAAGAGGAAAGUCAAGGAGGACAAGCAGCAGCACAAGAAGGGCAAUGUGGAGAUCGUCGAGAUUGAGGAUAACACUGCCGGAUGCGUCGCCAUCAGAAAGGUCAGAUCUUUCUUUCUGCUCUGUUCACUAUUACUCCAUACUGCUUGGUAGGGACAUACAUAGACAAUCAUAAUUUGGUCAAAUGUUGUGCACAAAAGGUUCCAAUUCAAAUUUUAGGUGCUCAGUUCCAAUCUGCUAGGUUUCGAGCUCGGUUAGAUCUGUGGGAAAUGUGGCGUGCCAUUUCCAAUCUUUGUAGCUUCACUUGCUAACCCGCCCGUCCAUGGAAAUCUUGGAUUUUGGGUGGUGAGGUGCGGUUAGUUAGUGUUAUUGAGGUGGCAAUGGCCUUUUGACACCGUCUUCAACAUUGCAUUCUUUCUUAAGUGCAAGGCUCAUAGUGGGACUGAACUUGUUGGCACCUGUACUGUGUACUGACACCAUGCUCUUCUGCCCAGGCUUUUGAAAUGAACCACUGCAAGGGCAAGAGGAAGGAACUUUCCCCACAAGAUGCCGCAUUGCUCAUCCAGAUGAACUACAGAGCGCACCUGGCCCAUCGCUCCCAGGUGCUCCGUUGCCUUCGCGACCUCGCUGUUGCAAAAGCCAAGCUCAAGGAGAUUAGGUCCUUCUUCUACAACAUCUCAUACCGCCGCCGCGUUGCACAUGACACUGAAGAGCGCCAGAGGUUUGCUGAGAAGAUCAUUGUCCUGCUACUGACAGUUGAUGCCCUUGAGGUAAAUUCUCGAUCUGUUCCAUGCUACUUCGUGAUUCAGCAAAUGACAACUGCUGUACUGUUUAUUGUGAUUUAUGUUUUUUCACACAAGAAUCUGUCAGCGCUCAGCACUAUGCAAUGUUGUUUAGAGUUCUAGAAAUUACCUUGUUAGUUGUUACUGAUGCCAUCCCGGACAUUAGAGAUGUGUUGCUAUCUUCAGCAACUGUCCUAGUUUAUGCACGAUCUGUGCUGGUGGUGAGCGCGGUCACCAUGCGCUGGUCCAAGCAGUUCCUGAGUCGAGCUCAUGUUCUCUAUCCUCAACAAUGUGCUAUGACUGUCUUCGUCAGGCAUGAAUAAUUAGUUCCCAGAAUUAAAUUUGCUCUCCUUAGUAUCCCAUGGUGAUCUAUUUAGGAGGAUUGUUGGUAAGAGUUUUAAGUGUUAUGGCGUUUAGUUGCGACUGUGUUACCCUUUCUUUUUCACUGCAUCGGUUUGCCUAUAAUGUCAAGAAUUUGUUAUUUGACCCACCUCACAAUUCCAUGCACCUUCAACUAAGCUGUCGAUAUAUGUGGUCGAUCGCAAUCUAAGAACACAACUGCAAAGAAUCUCCUAUUUUUAUGGACUGUGUAACUGAAACUACGGCACUCUCUGUGGGCUUGAAACUCUUUAAUGAUCCCUUGUUGAAUAUCAUGUCCCUCUGCUCUGGUGUUGAUCCAAAUAAAUAAAUUGCAAAAACAACAAUUUGAUGAGACAAUAACCUUAUGGCUCCGUUUCUUUUGUCAAUGCCUUCUGUUGUACUUAACAGGGACCAGACUACAUGGUCCGCAAUGCAAAGAGAUCCAUGCUUGAGGAACUUGAGGGGAUGCUGGAGAUCGUGGACCCUCAGCCACCAGGGAAGCCGAGGACGCUUAGCCGCAGGAAGUUUGAUCUCCCAGAAGGCGGAGCCAUCCCAAAGGAGAUGAGGGAUGGUGUUAAGAAUGUUGUCAGAAUUGUGGAGGAAGGCAAGUGAGGUGCAUCAGUAAUGACAUGCUUGUAGUUGUAAGUCAUGCGGACUAGAGUUUGUGCUGCUGCUGAGGAUUCCCCUGUUCAGAUGUUUGCUAGCUGAACUUUGUGAUGUUGUAUUCCUAGAAUGUUGUUCCUCGUAAUGUCGUCAUAGCAGUAUGAUCCAUGUUAUGUUUGGACUAGGUAUUUUUCUUGUUCCCAGAUGCCCCAGACGUGUGUGUUUGUAAACUCAUUCAUCACCCUUCAUCCAUCAUGGGUGGUGAAACUUUAAUAAAUUAGUAUCUGUUGAUCAAUGUGGUAUGGUGCCUGUGAGCUGCUGCUUUUGCUAAUAUUUGGGUGUCCCAUAUCUUAAUUCUGGCAUCAUUGGAUUUGGACGAAGUAUUUUCUGUACUAAACAGUUUUUUUUUUCAGCAAUGCUGUACUAAAAACAGAUGCAAUGAAGUCUUAAAAAGAACAUGUCAAUCUGCGUGUGGGCUGGGUUUAUGAGGCCGCCGCCGUUGUUUAAUCGGCUGAUAGCCCCAUUGGGCCUGGCCCAGUGUCAUUAGUAAAUUGGGGCUGGUGGAAGCCGAAAAGAGUUGGGCCUAUUCUACUUGCUCUUCAAAAUAAAAAGUGACUAAUCUAAUUCAGGUAGGUAGGUUCUCUUUGCCUCUGGGUUUGAGGGGACAAAAAUGUAAAUCCAUGGUUAUAUAUGUGCAUGUGCAUAUACAAAACUUGGUUAAAUCCCAACAGAGGGCUUGUUUUCUGGUGAGUGAAGUGAGUUAGUUUCCUACGCCUCAAGAUCUAAAAUGCAGAAAUGGUGCUUCCAAUUACAGACCUGCAGAAAUGGCUUGGUUGAAAGAACAUGCAUGUAUGUUUGUGGACAGAAAGAACUGUCGAGAUCCGGCACCUGUGCACAGGCCACAGGUGCUGUGACUCACAGACAGGGAUGCAAUGUUUUAUUUCAUCCACCAGCUAGUUUUUUGUAUUUGUAUUUGGCUCUCUUGUGAUGCUCAUUGCCUGCUCUGGCUCCAUUCAUGUGCCGUGUUGUGUUGAUUGAUGCUAUACAUACAGAGCACAGUGUAGAGAGCCUAGCUGGUGCUGUUGUUUUCUUGUGCAAAUGAUUGCCUGAAUAAAAUAUAGUAAUAAUGUUGGGUUUGCACUCAAGAUCGGUAGCAGGAAGGAAUGCUAGUUUAAGCAAGUGAAUUAUUGGCGGGGGCAAGGGCCAGAGGGUCAAUCAAUCCCAUUAUUUGAGACGGCUCAUCCGAGAAUUAUUGCCGGUUAGGUGCUUAAACAAAUGUAAUUAUUGGAGAUCACAGUCAUGGCUCCCCUGACCUGACCUGACUCCUGAACAUUGAUGAGAGAACAAUACAAUGACACGUAAGCAAUGCAAGGUGUCAAAGAGAAGGGAAAUCCAGUCAUCAGUGAUCUAAUGACACGUACCUACGACGCAUCUGAACAUGUAACUCUGAAAAGCAGGGUCGUUGAACUGAAGUGUAUGAGCUGGCAGGUCAUGUCGGGCAAUGGUGCAUUGCCAAGCAGGCAAGGCAAGGGCAAUACUCCUAUAUGGCGAGAAGGAACACGAGGAAUCGGAUUGGAUUCUGUUCUGCCUGCAACUGCAAUUUUUCUUCUUCGGUUCCUAACUGGAGGAGGGGACCGGCACCAUGUAAUCCUCCUCCUACACUACACCAAAUUAUUGGAGGGGCCCGGAUCGGACGCAUUGUCUCGUCUGUCGCUUUUGCCAUUGCUGACAUGGCAACAAUAAUGCAUUGUCAUGCGCCCAUGCCGAGUUGGAGGUGAGAGAGCUCUCUCUCUCUCUCUCUCUCCAUCGCUGGCCAUGGCCUCAAGUGAAGAUGAGUUGUCCAGCGCAUGUGGGUCACUGCUUCUGUCAGUCAGUGCUUCAUCAGUGUUCUGCUCCUUCCUUGAACUAAUCAGCACUACUUUUUAAACGUGAAAUAGUGUUUUUCUCACACGUUAAUGUCUGGUUAAUCGGUCAAUGUCAAAGAGUCUAGCUUAGCAUGUGAAAUGUAUGUGUCUGAAUCAGAAUCAGGGAUAGCAUGUGAAAUGUAUGUGUCUGAAUCAGAAUCAGGGAUGCAUGGUUACUUGUUCCACCAGACCACCAGCUCGUCCGAAAAUAGAGAGAAAUAAAAAUAGAUAAAAGAUGUAGUAGGUUAGUAGAUACUAGAGGGAGGCUAUUUUUUUCAAGGCCAUGCUGCAGUGGUCGAUCCAUAUCCAUCACAGUCACAGGAAAGGUAUAGCCGGCCUGAAUUUUUCUGUUUGUUUGCAUUGUGACAGUUAAUUUAAUAUAUAAUAUAUCCUCAAGUGUGAGGCUGAAAAUUAAAACUCGGAUUACCAGUAUUGUUAUUAUAUUCAGCUGAAAUCAUGAUCCACGUGGAGUCUGCAGACGCCAAGAGCUAGUCGAACCAUGCUUCUUCGAUGCACCAACACCACAAGACGAAUGAAAAAGCGGUCAAAAGGACGAAGAUGACAAGCCAACAAGCAGGAGUUGGCAUUAUUGUUAUGAUCCACGUGGCGUGGAUUGCGAAAUCGCCACUCGCCAGCAUAAUUGGAGGAGGAGACGCUGAUCGCCCGAUGUUGACGUCAUUAUUCGUAUUCGUUCUAGAUAGAUAGAUAGAUAGAUGCAUGUAUGGGUGGACCGCAAUGUUACUAUUGUUGUCUGUUCAUCUAACUAGCUAUAUUUUCUGCCAUAGAAAUUCUAGUGCAAGUAGCUGGACAAUAAUAAAACACUAGAGCCAUGUUUAGUUCCGAAAAGUGAAAACUUUUCGGUACUGUAGCACUUUCGUUUGUUUGUGACAAAUAUUAUCCAAUCAUAGACUAACUAGGAUCAAAAGAUUCGUUUCGUGAUUUACAGCUAAACUGUGUAAUUAGUUUUUGUUUUCGUCUAUAUUUAAUGUUUCAUGCAUGUACCACAAGAUUCGAUGUGACGGGAAAUCUUGAAAAAAAUUUUGGUUUUCAGAGUGAACUAAACAAGGCCUAGUUUUUUUAAAUUUUUUGUUAUACUUAUUAUUAUCAGUGUUGUGACUAAAAACGAGCUGAACGAAGUUUGUCUUCACCGGCCGAUUCCUAAGAAUUGCGUACUUGAUGAUCAUCAUAAUAUUAAUUGAUAAGCUGACCCAUAUAAAUUGCUGUUAUCACGUACGGUACUUCCGACUAAAUAAAGAACACUUUACGUAAAGGGCAGUGAUCAUUCACUCAAAAUCUUUAUUUUUUACACCUCCGGCCUAUAUAUGUUUUUCAACGCGUGCCGCCGUCCCCCUGCACCUAAUGAAGGAAAAAAAAUAUAAUAAAUGUACUAUAGGAAGUGGCACGUCAGCGGUUGAAAAAAUGCACACAGCAGGUAGAACUAGCAUGUGAUGGAAUAAUGGAAUGGGGAAGUGACACUGCAAGCAAGCGUUUGUGACCACAGUUGCUGCAUUAUUGUCAGCGUCAGCAUCAUGAAUACAGUACGAUAAUAUUGCCAUCAAUGACCUGGAGUCGAGUGGCUUUAAUAUUGCAGACGUGUCUUUAAUUUGCCGGAGUAGCAACACAGAAACGUGGGAUUGGAGAUGAAGAGGCCCGAUGUGCACUGACGUGGCAGCCACCGGCCGGACACUUGGAAAGAGGGGCAAGGGCAACCACCAGUUGGCCCAUGUCCAAGACCGUAUGCAUCACUACAGCAAGUGCCCACGUCACAGAAAUUAGGAGGAGGUGGGCGGUGCAGCCGACGCUGAGGUUGCCACGGAUAGGACAAUGGAGGGGGGCAAAUGUUGGCUGGAUAGCUAGUGGCAAAGGUCACAACAAGGUUGUGGCAAAGCCGUGACUGUGUAGGAGACAGUGCAAUUUGGGUUUAGGGUUUUGGAUUUUAAAGAGUCGUUGAGGCCUUCAUGGGCGGUGGCCUUGGAAAGGCAGAGGGUUGACGAGUGGUGCGGACGCCGCCGUGCGGGCGGUGCAUGACAGCCAAAUAGGUGAUGCUGGUGACGAGGGUGAGGAGUCGCUAGCAAGGUAACCAAUUAGCGUAAGGGAGCUCAAUAGGGGUCGAUGGUGGGAGAAGAUGUGGUCGUGGAGGCGGAGAUUGGUGUGGGGAGAGAUGAGGAAGACGAUUGGUUUAAAGUUGUGCGUUGAUAAUCCCCCUAUGCAUGUGCUAGUGAAGAUAGGGCAAGUAUGACUGUCACCAGACUAGGUGAUGCUUCAUCUAUCAAUAUAGUGUCCACACUUUUGUAGAUUUUGGUACUUAUCAAAGGCCAAAAGCACUAAUUGCAUGCAACUUAUCUUUCUCAAUCAGUUCCAAUCCAAAAACGAUGAGAUAGCUCUAUGCUUACCAAGUCAUAAAAACUUUUACGAGUUAUACAACUGAUAGUAACUUUUAAGAUGCAUACAAUGGGUUUUUAGGAAUGAAAUGAUGUCUUUGAUCACUAAUUGUGAUUCUGAAGGACAAUUAAAUUGGACAUGUACUUCGGUAUAUUGACACCAAAGUGAGUAAUGUAAAUACUGGUGUGUGUGUGUGUGUGUUUUAAAAAAAAAUCUAAGAUAGUUUAGCUUGAGAUAAAACUAGAAUGUUUUUUUUUUAACUAAGCGUUGGUAUACUAGUUGUGCGCCUCUUAUGUCUUAUGGAGCUAUAAGAGCACUCACAAUGCAGAAACCACGUAGAAAAUCUUGCACUGGGAAUGAUGAUUUAUUGGUAUGUUGUCCUAUGCUAUAGAAAUUGUUAAUAGUUUCAUGUAUUGGGAGUGACCUAAUUGGAUCACAAGAUGUAAUCUCAACAGUAGUAUAUAUAGUAGCCCAUCGACACAUGUUUUUUUUUCGAGAUCGUGUGCUUUAGCACGUUUUUCAUUAAUCAGAAUAAAGGACUUUGCUACAUUUAGUGUGAAGUUAUGGUAAUUCAAAGAUUAACGAAACCCUACACCACACUCGCACGUGGUUAUAAUUACAUGAAAACUAUUGAGCGAGAGAGGUGCUGGUGGCGAGAGAUUAAUUGGCCUCCUCGUCUAGCCCGAUCAUAUCCAAGUUCAUAGUGAUCGAGUCAAACUGUCCAGCCAAAAGAAGCUGCAACGCCUCAUAGGCGGAGUCUGACAGCGGUGCCCUGAAGGUAGUCUUGUAAUGUGUGAGUCGAUAUUGGUUGAUGAUGCCACUAUUCCUAUUCAUAAUUUCUGUAUGAGGACACACUGAGCCUGUUUAGUCUUCCUUACUCGGCUUGACAGCAAUGCGCUCAUUAAGGCCUCGUUCGGCACCACCGUAUUGGUGUCAGACCGAUAUCUGAUUCAGGCCAGGAUCGAGUGGAUCCUGGUGAGUCACUAGAACCCGCGCUUCCUCCGUUUUCUCUCCAGGAAUUAAACCGGUUGUCUCAAAUGCAGCGUUCGGUUCAGCCGGCCAGGAAUAAAAUAAGGAUACAGUAAAACACCCAGCCGAGGUUCAUAACAUGUGCAAUAGAUAAGCACAAUAUGACUUUGAUAUUCAAAACUAACACCUGACACUUAAUAACAAUUUCUGCACCAACAAAGUUAUUAUCAUAGGAAACAAUAAUUGAUAAUUUUUUUUUAGAAUUGACUUCCAUCCAAGGACAAUUGAUAAAAACCUUGUCAAAAUCUCAGCUGACUUUAGCCUUACAUUUGCAAACUGUCAAGAUGGUAAAAGCAAAAUUUUUCCUGGCUACUUGCACGGCAUGAUCACCGGCUCAAAGGCGCACACAUGUGCAUGACAACUCAUCUUUUUCCAAAAAAUGUCCACGGUCACUCAGACUCAAAGUGCUAAUAUCAUGUUUAAACUUGAAAUGCCUUCCUAGAUCCAAAAUAUAAAUUACAAAAAUACCCAAAGGCAACAUCAACCAGAUCAAAACUCCAUUAAAUGCAAAAAUCAAGAAAGAACGCAAUCUAGCCUUCCAAUACUCCACUUAAUCGUAUGAAGCAAAACAACAAGCUCCCAGCAAUAUCUUUCAAGAACUGUCAAAGCCAUGUGCCUGCAGAAACCAAAUGUAUUAACUUAAUUGACCAAAUGACUUAUAGGAUAGAUGUUUUGCAAAUAGAGUAGUAAUUUAGUAAAACUCAUCUAUUUUACUUGUGCUGCUGACUGACUAUUUUUAGCUAAAUAUAAGAACAAGUAUUGGUCUUAGCACAAGUGAAGUCUUUAUUUAUGACAGGAGCAUAUCUCAGCUUUCAAUCUUACUAUGGAAGGACAGCAUAAUUGGCUAAAAACAAACAUAUCUCUGGCUAGAAAUACAUCUCUACAGUCCAAAUCCUCUUACUAGCAACUCAACUAUCAAAAUAUUCUCAUCUCUAAGGGUUGAACAGGGCUAGAAAGUAGUACUGUCCUUAAUUUGUGACAACAUGUAUAGAAGAAACCCAAUUUCUCCUCCAUAGUGAUCCUAGUAUCAACAAGAAGGAAAACAUGAAGUUUUUAGCAAUUAAGUAGACUGACCUGUUAGACCAUCGCACUUUUAAGCCAAACCAAAGUUGCUUCUUGAUCUAGUUCACACCCACUUAGGAACGCCUCUCUAUUCUCUUUGCUUUUGAUGAAAACAGCAAAUGCUUUUGCUUUUUCUUCCUUUGUCACUUCCAUCGUGCUCAGCACAGAUAUACACCUUUUGAUAGAGAAGUCAUUAUCUUGAGCAACUUCUUUUUCUUUGGCUAGAUCCUCCUUUUCUUUGGCUAGCUCUGCAGACUCAUCCUGUACUUGCUUAGUCCGCAUGUCUAGGUAUCUCCCCAUCAUUUCUUCAAUCCUUUCACCCUUGUUCUUAGGCCUCUUCAUUUGCUUCUCAUGUUUUUUGCUUGAUGUAGUAGUAGUAGUUCUUCGCUGCCCGCUUCUUUCAACAUCUAUGAUCUCAUUUUUCUCCCCAUCAUUUCUUUCAUCAGCAGCCUCACUUGUUUGCAUCUCAGUGACUAAAUCAUCGUCAUCUAGUAGCUCAUGGACCUCAUUGUUGUCCAAGUCAUCUACAUCAUGAAUUUGUCGAAGUGGUGCUUCCUCUUGUGGUGGCUCAAGGGAAUUGAUAUUGUACGUACCUUCAGCCAAAUGACCUACACGAUAACUUUUAGGUUAGUUCAUCAAGCUAUAUUUUUUAAUUCAGGCAAUCUUAUCAUCUAGGUGUCUCAAAUUAGCAAGAUACUCUGGUAACUUAAUUCUACAUCAUGACAGCACAAAUAAGAACAUGGAUGUAGAGUUGUUGUUUUAGACAAGUCAAGUGAAUCACAUGAUAACAUAGAGCAGCAAGAUAUAAACAAAUAUAGAAAGUGAACCUACCAUCAUAAAGCUCUCCCAAAGCAUCAAAUAAUGGAAAUCUUGCCUUACUGUUGCGGAAUUUCUUGAUUUUAGGGAAUGUCUGCACAUUCAAAGAGAACCAUUGAUCAAAUAUGAGGUUAUCACUAUGAGGAUAUCCAUAGUAUUACUUUAAGAAAUCAACAUACCACUUCGAGGUUAGCCCACAGAGCUGGUGUUCCUUCAAUCACAUUCCUAUCUUCAUUCCAGGUGGCCCCACUCUGCUGCCUUGCCUCUUUUAGCAUCCUAUAGUCUCUCUUUAGUUGCACUUCUUUGUCUUGAAUCUGACUCUUUGUGUAGUUGACAUACUUGUUCCUCAGAUGGAACUCCUUCACCAUCUUAUUCCACCCUUCUGAGCUCCAACCAUUGUCACCUCUGUAGCCACUAUCUUUAUACUCGUGGAGAAUGUCUACCAGGGACUUCUCAAGGGCCGGAUUCCACUCUGCUCUUUGCUUUACUACUACAUAAACAAUGGUCAGACAUCAGGUUACCAACAAUCAGCAAAUAGAAAUAACAGUUUACAGCAAAGAAACAACAAAUAUCAGUUUAAAGGUUACAUGUUUACUAAAACUGCUAUAAUAGCAGAUGGUGGAAUAAACUAUUAUUUCAAGAAAUUUCUUUUAGUAGCAAAUAACAGUAGAGAAAUAACAGAGAAUUAAACACCAUACCUCUCGGAGAACCUCCAGCCUUCUUUGCCUUACUGCAUUUAGGAGAAGCCUUUUUCUUAAUGCCACUUGGGUUUGCUAGGAACUUGUGCAACUUUGGUGAUGCCCUUGCAAUCAUAUUGACCUUCGGGGAGCCCUUUGCAACCAUCGCUGUCAAAUAUGACACAAGCCUAUUCACUUAUUACAAGCUUAUUACUUAUUACAAGCCAAGCUUAUUCAUGACAAAAGCUUAUUACAAUCUAUUUAAAGACUAAUUUAAAUACUAAAAAGAAGUCUCUACUUAAUUACAUAACUUAUUAGAACCUAUUCAAAGACUAAUGUAAAUGUUGCUGGUACUGAACCCACAUUUCUUGGGCAAUGGUGUCUCUUAAAGUGUUGCCUUGUACUGAACCCACAUUUAGGUCAUCCAUUCAUCACCACUUGGUAAAACAACAUAGGUACUUGGAGGGAUAUUAUCUGGCUGAUGAUCUAACCAUUCCUCAUCUCCAUGAAGUAAUCGGAUCAGAUUAUGGAUGAUGGCAGCAGCUAUAGGUAUCUUUACUUGAUUUUCCAACAUAUGGAAUGUGGCAACUUUCAGAAUGGGGAAGCGCUUCUUAAGCACCCCCAAAGCCCUUUCCACAUGGUUCCUCAACAGUGCGUGGCGGUGGUUGAAGAGCUCCAUUGGGUUCUGCGGCCUCCGACGUCCAGACCCAAAUUCUUUCAAAUGGUAUCGAACUCCUCUAUAUGGAGCAAGGAAAGAUGGAGUAUUUGCAUACCCUCCAUCAACUAGAUAGAAUUUUCCUGGAGGUACUUGGAAGCCCUUGCUCAUAGCUGAUCGUAGCACUCUAGAAUCUGUAGCUGAUCCCUCCCAUCCACUAGAAAUGAAAGUGAUGUUGAGAUCAAAAUCACAUGCCACCAUCACAUUAAUGCUUAGUGUGCCCUUCCUAUUUCUAAAAGGAGAAGCUUUCUCAGAGGCUAUGGAAAUAGGAAUAUGAGUUCCAUCAAUGGCACCUAGACAAUUCUUGAAAAAUGGAUAGAAUCUAGGAUUGUCUUGGAUUUUUUGAUGCACUUGAUUAGGAUCAGGAGCUUGAAGGAAACGGCGAGAGAGUGUAGGAAUGACAACCUUGAAGAAGUGGUUGAUGUGAUGAUGGAAGGUAUCAUUGCUGUGCCCAAAGAACACUUGAAGAUCCUCAUACGAGGCAUUGUGACUUAACAUAUAUAGGAAGAAACCUAACUUCUCCUCCACUGUGAUCCUAGUAUCAACAACAAGCCUUUUCCUUCUAAGGUAAGUUGCCAAAUCUCUAAAGAUGUAUGGUUCCAUCCUAAAUGCAACUUGACAGUUCUUGACAUGUCCCUCGAGGAGUCUACGAACUUUAACCUCGCCUGUUUCUUCCGAAGUAUGGCGUUUCCUCCUUUCUCCCCCUCUAACAGAACUCAUAAGAUAUAAGGCAGGAAAAAUAAAUAGCAUCAUGUCAUCAUCUUCCUCCUCCCUCCUCUUUCUAAUGCGAUCUCGCAGUGAUAGACUCAUUGUAGAACUGAAGCAUAUAAUUUUAUAGUCAUAAAGAAGCUAAAUAUUAUUAACCAUGUCGUAUAGAAGAUAAAUAUUAAGGAGUACCUUCUGGAGUUGGUACUGGAUCCCAAGAAGGCGGAGGUUCACCUUCCCCAACUCUAAAUGGUGGAGGAGAGAUCUACAAAUGACAAGAAACAAUUUUUGAGUCAAAUAAAUUCUGAGCCAAAUAACAAGAAACCAACGCUGAAAUAGCUGAUAAUUGAAGCGACGUGCUAAGCCAAGUUGAAAUAGCUGAUAAUUGAAGCGACGCUGCAGGGAGCUGCGCCAUGCUUCUCUACAAGAAACCAACGCUGAAAUUGCUGACAAUAUUACAAUCACAUAGGAGUAUAGAACAGUAAAACAUGGUUAAUAAUAUUAGUACUGCAACUAGUAUUUGACACAGCAAGGCCACCUUCGCUCCUCUCUUAAUUAUUUGACGCCGCCACGGCUAGUAUUUGACAACCACGGCGCCGUCUCCUCUUCUGUAUCCACUUCCUCCUACGCGCUCGCAGCCUCUGCCGCCUUCCCCCGGGUCCGAGCUGCGUUCGCCGUCGGCGCAGUCACGUCGGCCGCCGUCACUCCAGUUCUUGACGGUAAAUUAAGCAGCUACCUCUUCGCUUCCUUUUUUGUUUGAGGUUUUUUCUUUCUGGCACAUGUCAAGAGCAAUGGCUACUGUUUUCCGCGCAAUAAGGGAGAAAAGGCAGUGGCGACUAGUAUUACAACGGCACUUGGGAAAUUCGUUCGAGUUCAAUUGGGGAUGUUGUAUAAAAUGGUCAAGUAAGGAAUUUGUCGCUGAAAUGGACAGCAUUGAUCUUUUUUGUGACAAAAAAAAGUCAAAUUAUCCUUUAUCAACAUCAGAACAAGAUUAAAGUAUUAAAGAACCAUCCUACUGAGUAACAUCACACAGUAUCAAAAGUUCAAAAUUGUAAUAAGGAAGAUGGCUCAUCACACAGAAUAAGAAGAUGCAGAAAGGGAACUAAAAGGUUCUACCCAAAAUGGUUCAAAAUUCGUGCUCUAAUCUGAAUUUUCUCUCUAGGCAAAGGUUUUUCUCUGAAACUUAUCUCGAAACAAAGGUCUGAAGAUCCAUUUUUUUUCCCCAGAAACUGACUAGCGUCCAUUCACUUCCUUCCAUAACUA